rnacentral:lncRNA from 1 species
UCCCUUUUAAGCAUGAGGUACUAGUAUUUUGGCUUGAUAAGAGACAAUUGGCAUUUUAUGAGUAAUAUGAAGGAGCUAUUUAUUAAAUUGAGAAAGAAAACUCUCAUAAUCUCUCAGCCUCUGCUCCCUCACUUCCGUCCCAAACAAUUUCCUCUUAAUCUCUUCUUAUUACAAACUACUAGCACCCAAAGAAAUUCUUUCAAUUGCCAAAAAACCAAAUCCUCCAAGAAGUACUGGAGCCAUGAGAUGUAAUUAGCAACUAAGGUGUAAGGAGGAUUGCAUCAAUUGUUGUCAAUGAAGGGAUUGAAACUAUAAUUUAUGUAAGCUUGAAGUAGUUACAUCCAACAAACAAGGUAAGCCAUAUGUUCAUAAAAGUAAGUAAAUAUAUAUGCGUAGAAUGAUAGAAUUGUUGUGCUUGGGUUAUUAAAUAUCGUGAUGGGAUGUGGUAUUGAUUGUGUGGAGUAAUAAGGAUGGAAAUACAUGGUUGAACCAUCUACCAAUAUAUAUAAAAUCUGUACUUUUAUGCAUUGUAGGCAAGAUGUUUGUCAAAAUACCCCAAUGAGAAUAUCAUGUGAAAACAUGAGAAUUGAUCAAAGUUAUGUGUUAGAUAAUGUACACACCCAAGUUAAAAGUUAACUCAAGUUGAUGGAGUGUGUUAAAACAUAUUCAAAUUGAGUCCUGGAGUUGGGAAACAAGUUGAGUUUAAAUGAUAAACUGUUGAACACAUUUUUUAGCCCUCUGUUCUAUAUCAUAAGAAUCUUUGUAAGAGUAAAACUUUAAUUGGUAAGUCGUAGUAUGAUCUAAAGAUAUGAGCAAGUUGCAGGCCAAUUGGAAGGAAUCGAAAAGAAGCUAAAAUGAGUUUAUAGUAAAUGUUUUAGUAAAACAUGUCCAAGUCCGAAAAACUAGUGGACUGCUAGCCUUAAAAGACAAAUUAGGGAAUAUCUAGAUUGUUCAGAAAAUUCUGGACUUUUGGGGAAGUAUAGUACUCUAAAUAAGGUUUCCAUAGACUCCGAAUUAGACUAAUUCUGACAUCAGAGAAAAGAGUUAUGACUGUUCAAAGUAAGUGCGUCCAGUCUGUCCAAAAUAUGGAAAUCAAAUUCUGACCCGUCCCUAGCACGAGUUUUAUGGAAUUCUGGGUUUAGAAUUUGAAAAUGGUCAAAGAAUAAAAGUUGAAAAUGGUCAAUUCUAGUACAUAGUUCACCCGUCAUUUGACCUUACAACAUGCUAAAGUUUGAUUCUUUAAACUUAAAACUUAUAAGGAACUAUUUUGCUUAGUAUAUGUUAUUUCCUUUAUUGUAAAUAUUCCCGUUCCAUUAUAUUCAACGGUUUAUUUCCUUGUUGAGCAAGCUUUUGUUCACCCUUGCGUUGAAUAUAAUAUUUUUAGUUAAAAUCGAGAACGUCGAUACCUCAGGGAAGGAUAAGGGAAAAGACAAAGUUGUAGAAUAAUUUUUUAUUAAGCUCCUGUGCUUAUAUGAAUUUAAGGAGUUAUUGUAAGAAUUACCUUAUUAUUAUUCUCUUGUAUUAUUAUUUGGUAUUGUAAUAUGUAAAGGUCUAUAUAACCUGAGAUUUAAGUUAAGUUUAAUAUGUAAUAUAAGACAAGUUUAAAUUAGUAAUAUGUUUGGAUUUAUGGAUAUGAUAGUAUCGUGAGCACCAAACUCGAAGUAAAGGUAACCCGGAUUUAAGGGCGUCACAUUUUACCUCUUAGUUUCAUAGGGUUUUUCACGUAAAAUCUUUGUGUCUUGUGCUUAAUUAUUCUUCUACUCAAUAUUUCUUGCAGUGAUUAUUAAUUUUAUGAGACUGCAAAUUUAAUCUGUUUGGCAUAUAUUGAUAUUUUUUACCAUUUAAUUUAUCAAAGAUAAUAGUAUUUGGGAGGUUAUUUUUCCCAACAAGUUGUAUCAGAGCUAAGAUUAUUUAUUCAAUUGUUUUUGAUAAAUUUUAUAGAGGAAUCAAUCGGAGUCAUGAUUAAAUUUACCUCUUCAAAUUUCUCGAUCUGGAAGCCCAGAAUGGAUGAUAUCCUUUAUUGCAAGGAUUUGUAUGAUCCGUUGGAGCUCGAGGGAAAGAAGCCCGCAAAUAAAUCUGAGGUUGAUUGGAAUAAAAUGAAUAGGAAGACUAUUGGUCACAUUCGGCAGUGGAUUGAUCAAAGUGUGUUCCACUAUGUUUUGCAGGAGACAGAUGCUUAUACUCUAUGGACAACAUUAGAGUCUAUAUACGAGAAGAAGAAUGCACAAAAUAAAACUUUUGUUAUUCGAAAAAUUAUGAAUCUAAAGUACAAAGACAUGAGCAGUGUAUCAGAGCAUAUGAGUAAGUUUUAAGAUUUUGUUAACCAGCUAUCCACCAUGAAGUUGAAUCUUGAUGAUGAGAUUCAAACUCUUUUGCUUCUCAGUUCGUUGCCAAAUAGUUGGGAGACUUUGGUGGUGUCUCUAAGCAAUCCAGCUUCAGAAGGAAAAAUGACCAUGCAGAUGGUCAAGGACAGUCUUCAUAAUGAGGAGAAAAGGCAAAAGGAACAAGGCAUAAAUUUUGAGACACAUGCUCUUGUUGCAGAAAACAGGGGUAAAAGCAAUUUUAGAGGAUCUCACAAAGGAGAUAAAAGUCGCAGCAAAAGUAAAAAUAACAGGAGCAAAUCAAAGAUCAAACAAGGUGAAAUGUAGGUUGAGUUCGACAAACCAACAAAUCUAACACUUUUCAUGCAUCACGUUGCACAUAAUAACAUGCUCAACAUACAUCUCAUAAUCAUACAUGUUGCAGUUCACAUAACAAGUAUAAAUAUUAUGUUCCUUACUCAAUCAACAUUCUUUACUCAAUCAACGUAGUCAUAAAUUGACUUUAAUGUUUCAUACUAACAACAUAUAUAAUACAUCAUGCUCUUUGCAAUACAGAUUUAAAACAGUUCAUCAACAAGUUCACAUAGCAAAUAGGAACUGAAACACUUGCCUGGUUUGUUAAUUAUCAACUACAGUUUAAGUGUUUUGCGUAUAUCCUACAACAGUUCUAAAAUUCAUAUACACAUGCAUUAGUUACACAUAUAAUGAAACCACAUUGACUCUUAGUCCUAAUCCUCUCACAAUCUUGCAUUUUUAUAAAAACUUAUAAUAUAUCUUCAGGUUUUAACUCUUCUUCGUUUGACACUUAAAUUUAGUUAAGUCAUUAAAUUAACCUUCGUCUCACUUCUCUUGAUACUUCACUUUUCAUCGACACUUAAUGUUUAGUUAGGUCUUUAAAGUUUACCUUCACAUCAAAAUAGUUGUACACUAAAUUUAUUCAACAUACCUAGGAAACUUCAUAGCAUGCUUCUCAUAUCCUUCUUGAAGAGUGUUACAUAAAAUUUCAUUAAGUCUAUAAGUCCUUUCAUUUUAUCACAUUUUGAAUCAUACCGACACCUCGAUUAAUACUCACCAUUAACCUUCAACCUUAUAUUUAACUUCACAUAUCUCAAUCUGAGCUUCUUAUUAUACUGAUACAUAACAUAGUGUUAAACUAUAACUCCAAUUCUCACGAAUAUUCAGUUUAAGUUCUUCACAACUUAUUAUUAUCACCCUUGUGAUUACAUUCUGCAAUUACAACUUAUUACAUGUUUUAAGUUCCACUAUAACCAUAUAAUGAGGUUAUGAUUCCAUGUACAGAACUGCACAACUAAAAACUUAUGUCACGACCACUAUGUCCACCCCUGUCGGGCCGGGGUUUUGAGCUGAAAAGGGCCCUUCGGGGGGGGGNNNNNNNNNNNNNNNNNNNNNNNNNNNNNNNNNNNNNNNNNNNNNNNNNNNNNNNNNNNNNNNNNNNNNNNNNNNNNNNNNNNNNNNNNNNNNNNNNNNNGCAACGCCCGUCGGGGCGGGUUUUCCCAGAUGCGACUUCUACAGUUUGCGAACAGUACAAUUCUAAAGCCAAAAACACCCAAUUUCUUCACUUUAACAACAAAUUAAACAUAUCCAGACACUACAAAUCGUAUAGAAUCAUAACCCAACAUGUAUAUAUUGAUUCUAACAACAUAAAUAACUUAAACAACCAUAUUAAACUCUCAAUUUCUAAGUUCAUACUCUAUAUUUCAUAUCUUGACAUAUUUAGCGAAUUUAUUCAGUACGAAUUUGUCUCUUUACCAAAUUGAUUCAUUCAACUUGCGUCCUUUUUGUUUUUCAACGUUUUAACAACAUUCAUCAUCAAUUUAAGGUUUUCAUCAUGAUUUCAUAACUAAUUUUAGUCUCAAAAUUGACCAAAACUUAUAUAUACAACAAAACUCAAAUUCUUCAUCUUUCAACACAUUUUCAUGAAUUUGAUUAUUCUAAAACCACUUUUAGAUGACAUAAAAUAGAUUACACAAACCCAUAAACAUUCAUAUCCAAUCUCUUAACGAAUUCUUCACCAAAGCCAAUUUACAAGGAAAUAAUUCUUAAAGAAUAAAACUAGAAACUUUUAAAGUUUACCUUUGAUUCUUAGAAUAGAUGAUUAGCAAGAUUUGACCAUCCUUCUUCUUCCUUGAUUCUAAAAAUCCUCUCAAUUUACAGAGAAUUUAUUCUCUCCAUAUCUGUCUUCCUUUUCUUUUCUCUUUCUUUGCAAAUAAACUGACCAACACUUUAACGUGGUUUAGCCAGUUACAAAACUUAGCAGUUACAAGAUCACACUAAUUUGUCAUACUUUAUUUAAUUAAAUUAUAAUCUUUAUUUAACAAAUCAUAAUCCCUCUAAUUUAAUUAUUUAAUUAAAUUAGAAUAUUAGCAUUUUGUAAAAUCAUCUAGUCAAUAUUAUCACACUUAAAUAAAGUAUUCUCUAAUAAUUUUCAUCGAAUAUUUAUUUUAUUCCAUAAAUAUUCUAAAUAAAAUAUUUAUUUCAUUUAAUAAAUAUUUUAACUACUUACGAAAUUCACCAACGUAUUACAUUAACAUAGUACAUUUUCAUGCAAUAUAUUACCUUCUCAUUUUAUUAAAACAAUUAUAUUACUUCACUAUUAAGUGAAUUACUCACAUUACUUAUGAAAUUAAUUCAUAACAUUUCCAUUACCAAUAAGGCAUGACAAUUAAAUUAUAUUAUUUCAUAAUAUAAUUUUUAACUUAAUUAAAUUAACUAAUAUUAUUCAGUUAAUUUCCUUUCCGUAAUAAUUUCAUUUAAUUUCUGCAAUAGUUUAAUUAACUAUUAAACAUCUUUUUCCCCAAUACAUGAAUAUAUAAUUCUCUUCACACCAAAUCACAUAUUUCAUAAUAUAUAACACAUAUAUACACAUACUCAAACUUAAAACAUCUUAUAAUAAGAAUUUUAUUUAUUAAAUUUUUAUUUAAAUAAUUUCUAAAAAUUCAGGUUGUCACAUCUUUCCCUCCUUAUAAGGAUUCCGUCCCCGGAAUCACCCAAACCCUACCUUAUUUAGGUUUUCAUCAAAUAUCUUUUUAAAAAAAAAUUAUCGUUGAAUAACUUCAACACAUUACCUUAAUAUAUGUUUAAUAAUUCCUAUUCCAUUCUUUUUCUCAAUAAAUUCUUGCAAAUUUUAUUUUAUAACCUUUACUUAGACUCAAUUAUAUUUUGAGUAUUAUAUAUUCUUUAAUCCUUUAUUACAUUUUCUAAGAAUCAUUAUUAUAUACUCAACUCAUAAACACUCGGGAUAUUACAUUCACCCCUUCUUUCUAAGAAUUUCGUCCUCAAAAUUUUAAUUUACAAAUCUUCGUCAAUACAAUUUACCAAAAUAGAUAUUACGUUAAUAUUUAUUCUUUCAUUGAAUUCUAUAACCAAAUUUUUUCUCUAAAGAUCUUUCGAAAAUCAUCACAUUCUUUACAGCUUUCUCUUUUAAAAGUUUUACAUUAUCCUUUAAUAACUUCAUCCCUUCUCUCAUCAGAAUUUCUUUUCUUUCCUAGAAUUAUUAUGUUUUGCUUAGCUUUCUCAUCAUGACAUGUCGUAUCUUAUGACUUACCAUUUUCUAAGGAAUAUUCUCCUCCUUUCCACUUUCAACUUUCAGAAUAAUAAGAAUCUUCCACAAUUGCUCAAUAAUUGGGAAGCGAUAUGAAUUACUCAGGAAUUUAAAAGAUUUCAAAUCAUGUUGAGGGGUCAUAAGACCUUGGUUUAAUAGUGCAUCACCACUGUAAACCAUCUUUAACAAAAUGUUUAGCAAUCACACAGACUGAAAACACUCUCUGCAAGUACUCUAGGUGAUCAACCUAUCGUUCCCCUACGUCAUGCACAACAUAUUAUAUCUUAACAUCGUAAUGACUAUAUGCGUUACUUUCGGAACCAUUGUCUCUGAUUACAUGUCUCCUUUUAUAGGGUUGUUCACCUCAACUUAACAUUUGAAUCCGCACAAAAACAAUUUGGUUUGGCAUUGUUUGACAAAGAACGCUCGAAUUUCAUAAACAUCUUUCAAUAUUCAUUUAGCUGAAUCAAAUAACAUAGACUUCUAGCAACAACUUGGACAUCAAUCGAGAUAUAUAGCCAUAUAUUCUUAACCAACUCAAUUGGUAUACCUUUCUUAGUGUAAAGAAAACCAAAAAUCUUUUUUCUAUAUCACGAUAUUGAACCGUCUUAAUGGCAUGUUAAGGAUUCAGUCAUGCUACAUCAUACCAUAGUGAGAUGACGAUCUUAUGAUCACAUCCAACACUAGGUUCAAUUGCAUUAAUGACUCCUUUGAUUAUUAUGUUCACACCAUAUCAAACGAUGCAUAUGAUCACAUAAAAUACGUUUUGAUAAUUUCAAAUCAUUUUUGUCUAGCUGAAACAAUUAGCAAAGACACAAGAACAAUAACACUAUUUUUAAAAACCCAUUGAUUCAAUCAUUUGUUCCAACAUUUUUCAAAAACACGGGAAUACAACAUCGACACGAAGUCAAUAAAUUUCGAAAGUCUAUCAUAGCUAGAAGAUUUAGAAUAUCCAAUCUUCCUCCAUCAAUUUAAAUCUUUACUCCACUACUUCAUUACUUAAUCAUUAUACCAAACUUUAGUACCAUUAAUGCUCAUUUAUACCAAGAGUUCUUAUUUUUGCUUCAUAACUUCUCUAUACCCAGUAUAGUUCAUCAAACUUACCACACUUAGGAAAUUCAGGAACUUGCCACAAUAAUAUGAGUUUAAGAACUUGUCCUAGCAAUACGUAGUCCAAGAACUAAUCAGGAACUUUCCAUACGCUUAGGGGCUCAAAAAUAUACAUACGAUUAUGAGUCAUGAACUUACUAUAAACAUGAGUUUUAAGAACCGCACCUUACCUUAAUAUUAUUUAACCUAACCUUAAUAGCCUCUAAGUAUAAAAUAUAAACAUGGGACAAGAAUCACCUUCUCACCAUAUGUAUACUAAUAGCGCAACACCGACAUUCCAAUGAUUAUCAAUAUGAUAACUAAGUACAAGCACAAAACUCCGCCGAUACAAAGGUUUGUACAACUCAGCUAGUACAUGAGUCCUCACUUGAAAUCACACCUAACUCUAUCUUUCUCAUAACUUGUUAUUUGCUUGAUACGAAUUUUCCGUAUCUCAUCAUUUAUAACUCCUCGUGAGUUUAUCUCGUACUAUUUCAUAGUACAUUCUAUUUAUAGCGUCAAGCUAUAACUAUUCAAUCAUUACAAACCACUUGUCAUUUCACGACUUAAACAUAUCAAGUCGUGAUCUUAUUCUACAAUCAUCCCCCUUUAUAAUUCUUUUCUUAUUUUAUAAUCGUUUUGAUUUUACGAUCCUCAUUCUUUUCUCUUUAAUUAUGUUAUCUUAUAAUUAUACAACACAAUUUCAGCUCUUCAGGUUCUUCUUUGAACCCAAACAUAUCAUCUUAACUUAUUUUAUAUAAAUCUUCUAAGUUCAUCUAUUAUCCAAUAAACUCAAUUUGAGUUUAUUCUUACUAUCUUUAUCAUCUUCAUUUUAUAGACAUCGUCUAUUUAUUAUUACUUAACAUCUUUAUCAUGGAAGUUAGGUAACUCCCGGUUCUCGUCUUUUAGAUACCUCAAGAUUCUUCUUUGAACAUUCUCAUAUAUAUAUAUAUAUAUAUAUAUAUAUAUAUAUAUAUUAAUCUCUUUCUAUACAUUUCUUAAAUUUAUUUCUUAUCAGUUAAACUCUAUCUGAGUUUAUUCUUUCAUUAUCCUCGCCUUUCUUCUCUAAAGUUUAAGCAUAAAGUACCAUUACCUAAGGUUUAUAAUAUACAGCUCUGAUACCAACUAUAACGACCCCAAAAUUCUCAACAAUCCAACUCUCGACUUCGGUCAUUAUCAAUACAUCUUUAUUCUAACUUUACUUCAUUAAUCAAUGUUAAACUUAAUUAAAUUACGGAAUAAUUUAAGCUUUUAUGUCUUCUUACUUUAAUUCCCUAAAUCAAAACAUUUAUCAUCUACAUAUCUCUGAAUCAAAUUUAUUUUAUGAUUCGUUUCAUCAGAGUUAUUAUAUAAAAUCUUAAAUCUUAGCUCAAUAUCAUUUAUACAUUGGGUAGCUCAAACUUUACAACUCAACAUAAAAUAAACACCAUAAACCAUUAAGUACAUCUCCAGAAUAUUAAACUUGGUUUACAAGAAUAACAACUGUAACACCCCGAAAUCUGGUCUAUCUUCACACCCGAAUUUCGUACGUCAUGGUUCCAUCUUCUUCCAAACAUACAUCAUUAUAUAGUGAAAUAUAACAACAUACAUUAUCAAAUCCCAGGUUCUAAUACCUUAUAACCUCGUUUAUUAUAAAUAAUGAUAAUUACAUUAUUCUUUACAUCUUACAAGAGUGACUUUCAUCCGCCACCAAGGAUACAUAACAGUUCCUUAAACUAGUCUACACUACAAGUCUUGGCUUGUUCUUUAUGCUCAUUCAUAUACUGAAUGACACUUCUUCUGGAAACCGAUCAGCUUGAUCUUUACGAGAUCCUUAAGUUCUUCUACUCGUACGCUAAAAAAGUUUUUCAUUUAAAGCAAGUGUGAGCAUUCAAUUGUCCAGCAAGUCAUAACAGUUGAACAAACAACUUCAAGAAUUUAAACAUUCUUUUAAGACUUCAAUAACCGAACAAAGGUUAUGAAGUAGCUUGAAUAAUAGGAAUAAUCCUGAUUCCUAUCAUUUUAAAACAUUAGUCAUAUUCACUUUGAAAUAUUUUCAUUCUUCUACCUUUUUCAUACACCUUCCGUCUGGCUAGAAUCAUUAGCCCAGACUUAACAAUAAUGGUUCAUAUAUAAACAUAACAUUCUCAUAUUGAACAAUUCAAUCACAGAACAGUUCAUCUCAUAGAAACACCAAAGUUUUCAAAUUAUGGCACAAGGCCUUAUACACUCUACCACCUUGUACAAAUAUCGCACAUUUGCACAUAGAUAAAACUUCUUAAUUUCAACAUCUGAGAAGUUUAAGAAACUAGAAUUCAUUUAAAAAUAUGAAUGAAGUUAGGAAACUUGCCUUACGCACAGCUACAACUUAAAGUUUACGCUAAACUGCUCAUCACAAUCCCUAUAUAACACAGAAGGAAUAACACAUACACCAAUUAGUCAUAUACUUGACUCACGUAUUGGUUUAAACUUAACUUUACUUCUUAGGGUUCGCGCUCUUGCAAUCUAAGUUUACACGACCAACUUCCUUUACCGUUUUACGGCGUUCUGACAUACAGAGAUGUCUUAACUCAUACAAUCAUCAUCUUUGAUGAUUUACAUUCUUAUCUUCUUCUGAUAACUUUUCUAGGACUCAUCACACAUCACGUCUCUACUAGUAGUCCAUAUGGUACUCUGAGUGAUUUCUCACAAACAACCAACAAACUAGUUUCCCAUCUCGUCUACACUGUCUUUCACAGUGAGUUAUAUCGGUUGCCAGUUUCGUAUAUACCCCCGCUCUAUGAAGGAAUUGUUUAGCCCAUCUCCCAUAUGUCAACCAUCAAAUAUUACGAUUAUACCACAACCUAAACUUUAUCUUAACUUAUCCGAACCAUUAAAACUAUAAUGUUCGUUAAGUUGAUUUCUCAUUCCUUAUGGCUUUUUGACAACUAAAUGCCAUACCUCAGGAUUCAUUCUUUAUCGUCUAAGUCAUACAGUGUUUUGUAUACUCAGAACGAUCAUUCAAUGUUAAUACUAUGUUUUCAUAGUGUUAACCAUUUUUCAUUACCUUAUUCAUAUCUUAUAACGUCCGGUUCUUUUGACUCGGAACUUCCUCCAAGUUAUAAUCAUUAACUCGUCUUCUUUACGUUAUAAGUCAUUGUCAUUAAUACAAUUUCUUUACUGUUCAUAGGUUUAAUCAUAAGUCUUCAUUACCUUAUGGUCAAACCAUAAACGGCGUGUAGGUUCUGCCCGUUUAAUAUUCACAUACACUCAACCCUACGUCAGCUAAAGUGUUUAACUCUUACAUUCAUUAUAUCCUUCUCUAUCCGACUCACAUUCGGACUUUCAUUAAUCUUGUUACCGUUCGUUAUGGCUUUCUUGAUAAUUUAUAUCUUACUUACUACUUUCGUCAAUGUCUAAUUCAUACAACCAAUGUAUACUUAGAACGUUCAUUCGACGCGAAUACGAUUUACGAGGAUCGUUUACGUAUUCAACGUUCACUUUUAUCAUCUCUUCAUCUCUCGUUCAACCCUUAUCCAAGGUUUUAAUCUCUUUCAUUCAUUAUUCAUUACAUGAACCCCACGUUCAUUAUUCCUUUCUUAAUGUCGAAGCCAUACGGUUCGUUGUAUGCUAAGACCAUUCUUUCAUCGCAACUGCGUUACGUUUACAUUCUUUGCCUUUUAAUCUCGUUUAAUCUUUUCGUUCAACCUUCAUUAAAGGUUUAAUUCACUUGAUUAAGUGUUACAUUAGGUGAACUAUAUGUUCAUUAUCUUUCCUUACACUUUCCCCAAGAGUUAAGCAGUUAAAAGCUCUUCUCUUGGUCUUGCCCUGCACCGGAGCUGCGGCGCUGGCUCCUUCCUUCCUUCUCAUACUGCAGCGUGACUUAAUAGUGGUUGGUGGCCUGGGUUGGUGCUACGGCGCCGCUUCCUAAGGCAUAGCUAGCGCUGCAGUGUCAACUCCAAAACUUUGAAAUUUUUUUCCAAGUCUUGAACUUAUUUGAGACACUUACUUCACAAUCUCAUAACUUCUUUGUUAUAACUCGGAACGAGGUCGUUCCAAAGCUAUUUUCUUACUUAUCUUAUGUACUUCAACUUGCUCAGACAUAAUUCAUUCUGAAUCCGUUAACGUGUCAUUCAAUUGGCUUAAAUUUCAUCCUUUGUUCGUUUUACGUUAUUAACGUUCUUCGUUCGUUUGUCCGUAAUUCGGUCAUCCGAACUCGGAAUUCGUUCUUUCUUGAGUCCACAAAUCACGUUUUCUACUUUCUCUUACAUUCUUAUGAAACCCUACACAUUCGGGUUCAUUUACAUACUUUCUACUUCUCGUUCGUGUUUUACGAAAUUUUUGCCAUAACUUGGUUAUAGCUAAGUUCAAUUCGUUCUUCAUGAACGUUUCUACCGUUCCUAACCAAGCAAUAAGCAACUAACUUAUAUACGAUGGUUUUAAACUUGUCCAUCAACAACAAGUUAUAACUAUGAUGGUUUUAAAUUUGUCCAUCAACAACAUUCUUCGCGUGUUCUUCGCGUUCUUCGUUCGUUCUUAAUUUUUAAUCCAUACUUUGAUUACAAUUUCACUUUUUCUUGGAAUUAGAUGUUAUAAAACACCAUUCCUUACUAAUUUCACCGAAUCGUUCAUAUUAUUCAUUCGGAUCGUUCAAAUUCAUUACGAAACUUAUACUUCCUUAAGAAAUUUAUAAAAUAAACUUCAAAUUCUUAUUUCUUCGCUUUCUCAUGAUUUCAACCAUAUGAAAUCAUUCUUAACAUCAUUUGCUUCUAUUCUCAUUAAGAUAUGCUCUUAACAUAGAAAACUUAAAGAAAAUUUAUAUUAGACUAGGUUUUGGAUUACCUUUCUUUUUUAAUCUUCUCCCAUUGGACAAAGUUUGCACUCAGGCUAGCUUUUCCUCUCCUUUUCCUCCUCAUCCGACUUCUCUCCCUCUCUCUCUCAAGUGUUGAUGAAUUUUUCAUUAACCAAGAAAUGAGCUUAAGCUUCUCUUAUAUAUAAAACCAAGGCUAGGGGAAUUUUAGUCAUUUGGCAAACCGCCUUACUAUUCACGAAGCUUCUCUUAGAAGCUUCAUGGUUCCGUCUUGCGGAAUUCGUCAGACAAUUUUAAAAACUGCGAUUCUCGAAAUCCAAAUAUUUUUGGAUAUUUUGUCUUUCCUUUACAGAUUAACUUUUACGCAUUCUUCAGAACUCCGAAAAACUGAAAAAUACUUUUUUGAUAAUAAGCGUUUUCCCUCACGUUUUCCCCUAACGUAGUUAAACGAAUGAAAAGUACAUAACAAUACUUUUCGUCAUUUUUAUUUCGUCUGAUUUCUGCACGUUUUGCUAAAAACUUUUAUCAGCUUACUUAACUUUUCACGAUAUAUUAUCGUCAAAUCUUUCGACGGAAUGUCAUUUUGACAUACCGAACUCUCGUAAAGGCUUAGGUUAUUCAAGCCCUAACCUUUAGGUUUCAUCGGGUGAAUAAUGCCUAUUUGGUCUUUUUCCUCGGAAAUAUUUUUAUUCCCGAAUUUUUUUAUUUUCGUCUCGAAAAUUCUUACUCGUUCAAUCUAGCUCGUAGCCAGAAUCCUCCCAUUUUAUAAUCAUCCUAGGUUCUAAAAUGAUUAAUAAACACAUAGCACAUAAUAUUAUUAAUAAAAAUUCAUUUUAUUAAUAACUAAUUCUUUAAACUUAAUUUCUGGACAAUCCGAUUUUCCAGGUUGUCACAACAACUUUAGCUAAAAUACUUAAUCUUCAUUCAUUAUAUCUAAUCCACGUCAGUCAAGUAGCACAUAACGUUACCUUGAAUCCUUAGCCUGCAAAAAUGAUUAUUUGCAAGGUUGAGUUCGACAACCCAGCAAAUCUAACAGUUUUCAUACAUCACGUAGCACAUAAUAACAUGCUCAACAUACAUCUCAUAAUCAUACAUGCUGCAGUUCACAUAACAAGUAUAAAGAUUGUUUUCCUUACUCAAUCAACAUUCUUUACUCGAUCAACAUAGUCAUAAAUUGACUUUACCGUUUCAUACUUACUACAUAUAUAAUACAUCAUGCUUUUUGCAAUAUAGAUUUAAAACAGUUCAUCAUCAAGUUCACAUAGCAAAUAGAAACUAAAAGACUUGCCUGGUUUGUUGAUUUUCAACUAUUGCGUAACUGCUUUGCGUAUAUCCUACAAUAGUUUAAAAAUUCAUAUACACAUUCAUUAGUUACACAUAUAAUGAAACCACAUUAACUCUUAGUCCUAAUCCUCUCACAAUCUUGCAUUGCUGUAAAAACUUAUAACCUAUAUUGAGGUUUUAACUCUUCUUCGUUUAACAUUUAAAUUUAGUUAAGUCAUUGGUAACCUAUUUUGCAAAGAAAUUAAAUAUAUUUAAAUAACGAGAGAGAGAGAGAGAUAAAAAGAAAAGAACGUAAAAACUAUUUGGCUUUGGAGUAUUACAGAAUCAAAAAGAAGAAAAAUUAAAAAAGAUUUGUUUGCUUAUAAAUUUGUGUUUCGCGAUAUCGAGGUAAGUGGCUUUCCAAACUAUUUCGUGUUUUUAAAUUAUCAUUUAUUUUUAUGUAUACGUUACUAAUUUCUCCGAUACCUAAAUGCAAGGUUUCAGAAUUUGUUAUGUUUUAUUUAAGGCUUCCAUUUAAAUUAAAAUGUUAUGUUCGUUUAUUCAAAACUUCAGAUCAAAUAUUUAUUUUUGAACUGGGAAAUUAGAUUAUAUGAUUUUAAACUGUGAAAAAGUAUUGUUUAGAAUAUCAAUAAUAUUGAGAAAAGAUUUUAAAAUCCUCAGUUUGACUAUGUAUAGAACCCGUUAUUGAUUACGUUUAGUUUUGAAUCUAAUAUAGGACUUACUAAGGUGCACACCUUUUAGAUGCCCUUCGGGGAGCGUGCAGAUUAGACACCUUAGUAGGGUGCGUGAUCAUUGAUAUUAUCGAACAUUUGGGUCAUGUUACAGGGCUAUUGUAACCUUAGUCACUAAGGUUGUGGAUAAAAGAUAUAUUGUAUACAUUGAAAUCAUUUUUGAAUUAUUUUAGUUUUGAAAGCCUAUAUAAUAUUGUUAUUGAACAAAAAGAUAUUUCAAAAAAGCAUUUUUGCAAAUUGUACUUGAUUCGGCUAGAUAGGGAGGAUUGUUACUUGCUAGGCUUCAUUGCUCACCCUUACAAUUUUACAGGUCCCAUCGUUGAUAGCUGAGCACUUGUUUGAUAUUCUUUGGAUGAUUGGAGUUAAUUUAAGAUGUUUACCUCUUGUCAUUGAAUUUGUAAUAAACUCUUAGUUUCGAGGAGCUGCGUCUCCUUUUUAAGAUUUUGAUAUUUAGUGGUUUUUCAUUUCCAUUGGAUUAAAAGAUGUUCAUUGUUGGGUUUAAUUUAAGAUUAUUGUUGAGUUUUUUUUUGGGUUGCGCAUUAUUGAUAUUGUUACCUUGCGAGCCUUUGGGCUUGCAAUGUGUAGAACUUCAGGCUUGUAUCGGGUUCGGGGUGUUACCGAGAUGGUAUCAAAGCAGUUACCCCUCGCAGUGUGUCAGGCUAAGAAACCCACACAUUUUCUAGGGAGUGAUUUUGGGAUUUACAUGUGGGUUGUGAUUCGACUAUAUUUAAGAAAUAUAGUGUUAUAGAUUUUAGGUUUGGAUAUCUUGUAGAAAUUGAGUUUAAUAUAUAAGAUUGUGUUUUAUUAGUUGCAGAAUAGUUGAGUAUCAUAUUUGGAGACUACUUUGAUGUCGUGUAAGUUAUGACAUUGAAAAUUUUAGUGUUUUUUUAGAUAACGUGCAAGUUAGAAAAAUAAAAGUUAUAUUGAUUAUGUUGUGGUGAAUCUAAGAUUUUGGUAAUCAUUUUAUGACACGAGAUAGAAAAGGUUGCUUAAUUUGAUGUUCAGAUGGAUAUAGAAUAAGAAAUUGUCAAAUAAAUUUCUUUUAUUUUAACUUGAGGACAAUGAUUGGGUGAUGGACUAUGUAAUUUAUAUAAAGACUGCGAUUUUUGGAGCAUUUAUUUAGAUAUGGAAUGAGUGUUAGAACUUGUUUGAAAUUAACCUUAAGAAUUGUCAAUUUGGAUGACCAAUUUUUUUUAAGGUGGGUAAAAUGUAAUAUCCAGAUUUAAAAAAAAUAUAUAAUAAAAAAAUAUAUACAUAUAGAUAAUGAAAAGGUUAUUAUUAGUACAUAUCGAAAACAGAUAUGGAUAAGGAUAUGAUAAGUCAUUUAAGUUGUAACAAACUUUUAUUUUAAAAAACAGGAUCCAUGCGAAAACAUAUUAAUAUAGUAUUUAGAUUUUAUACUGAUUAUAGAGAAUUCUGUAACGGCUUCGAAUCUCCAACGCAAUUCAACGGAACUACGUAUCUAUGGUAUCCACACAAACGCUCUGCAAAUCGUCACACGAUCUGCAAUAAAGAAAAAGUCACGAUACUAGCCACCAAGGAUCAGGAUAUUCGAAACUUUUUCUCUCUAGUCUCUCUCUAAGAGCGGCUAGGGUUUCUUAGGUUAUAAUUAUUAUCCCUAAAUCACUGAUAUAUCAUAUAUAUAUAUAUAUAGCAGUUAAAAGGAAUUAAUCAAAAACCUAAUCUAAUUAAAAUAAAAUUUGAAUUUAUAUAUAUAUUAUAUCUUAAUUAAUUAAUAUACAUAUAUAUACAAAUUAUCCUUUUAAUUUAAAUUCAUGAUUUAAAUACUAUCAAUCAUAUUGUUAUAUUUAAAUACUUACAAUUUAAAUUAAUUCCCUUUUUAAUCACGUUCUAUGUGUAUGACCCUAUAUUUAUUAUUACGUUGACAAUAAUUUUAAAAUUAUAUUAUAAAAUUAUAAAUAGUGAGCAGCAUCUAGUAAUUCAUCACUCUUACCCAAGUAAUAAUUAGAUCAAUGAUUCGAUGCAACCUUUUCGUGACCAAUGUUUCAAUGUAAUUUAAUCCUUUUAACCUUGACAUCCUAGAUUAAACUCGAGUCAUGGAAUGCGUCAUACUCUUCAUAAUUUAAUCUGAGUUUUCUUGAUCAAUGAGUAGACUAUAUGAAACAAAUUACUAUUUGAGCAUGGCCAUGCAUUUCAUAGUCCUACUCAAUCAAGAGGCCUAUGGAUAUCACCUCUAAUAUAUAGGAGGGUUAAAUUCCAUCUAGAUCACUCAUAUUCCUCACACGAUUCAUGAUGUACCCAAUAAUCAUCUUUAUUGUCCACCCUAUUAAACAUGACUUUUGAUUAUAUCAAAGUACAUAAAUUCCCAUAUAGUUAUAUAGUGAUUUUAGGUCGGAGGAUCAUUACAUCAUUGUCACUAUGAGAAUUGCUAAUGACAUUUUGCAUAAUGCUCCACGUAGAAUUCUCAUAGUGGGUCUAUCCAGUACAUCAUUCUCUAACAUGUACCUAUGCAUUUACUCAAUAUCUCAUAUAUUUAUGACCAAUGAGAUUUGGUCAUCAGUCAAUCCACAUACUAGUCUCAAUGUAUCAUUGUUGUCCCAUUAACAGUGAUACUCGAUUAAGGACAUUUAAGAGCAAUUAUACUAAUUGUAAUUAUAUAAUCUCAUGUUCAAGUCACAUACUUGAAGCUAUAUAAUUUGUAUCACUAUUCUAAGGACUUUUAUUAUGCUAACAUUUAUAUAACGCAGUAAGUAAAACUAUAAUAAAAUAAUUCAUUUAUUCAAUCAAAUAUAAUAUCAAAAAUGGGUAUUAGAUACAUGAGUGAUUGGCCUCUAGGGCAUAAACUCUAACAGUCUCCCACUUGCACUAGAGCCAAUCACUCAUGUAUCUAAUACCCAUGGAAUUAGUAUGACCUUCGUGCUUUUGCUGCGAUAAAGCCUUGGUCAGUGGAUCUGCAACAUUAUCAUAUGUUGGAAGUCUUCCUAUACGUACAUCUCCUCUAUUAAUGAUUUCACGGAUGAGAUGGUACCGCCUAAGUAUAUACUUGGAUCGUUGGUUAGAUCUGGGUUCCUUAGCCUGCGCAAUGGCUCCAUUAUUAUCACAGUAUAGUUCAACCAGAUCAAUAAUGGUUGGAACAACACCAAGUUCAGUGACGAACUUUUUAAUCCAUACAGCCUCCUUGGCCGCACUAGAAGUAGCAAUAUACUCAGCCUCUGUUGUAGAAACGGCUACUGUCUCUUGCUUCGAACUCUUCCAGCUAACAGCACCACCAUUAAGGCAAAACACAAAACCUGACUGAGACUUAUAGUCAUCAUUGCCUGUCUGGAAACUAGCAUCUAUGUAACCCUUUACUUCCAGUUCAUGUUCACCUCCAUAUACCAAGAAUGAAUCCUUAGUCCUUUUCAGGUACUUGAGGAUAUUCUUGACUGCUGUCCAGUGACCUUCACCUGGAUUUGAUUGGUAUUUGCUCGUCAUGCUCAAAGCAUAUGAGAUAUCCGGACGAGUACAUAUCCUUGCAUACAUGAUAGAUCCAAGUGUCGAAGCAUAAGGGAUCUUUCUUAUACAUUCCUCAUCAUCUUGUGAUUUAGGAAAUUGGGCCUUAAAUGGAUCGCUGCAGCUUACAUACCUUUCCAGCAUCCUUUGGAGUGACAAAACCCUCAGGCUGUGUCAUGUACACAUCCUCAAGGAGAUUUCUGUCAAGGAAAGCAGUUUUGACAUCCAUCUGCCAGAUUUCGUAAUCAUAAAAGGCAGCAAUAACAAGUAAGAUCCUGAUAGAUUUAACCAUUGCCACUAGAGAGAAGGUUUCAUCAUAGUCAACACCUUGAACUUGUUUGAAACCUUUUGCUACCAGUCAGCCUUUAUAGGUUUGUACAUUACCAUCCAUGUCGGUUUUCUUCUUGAAAAUCCACUUGCACCCGAUUGGUUUUUCCCCUUCGGGUGGAUCAACCAAAGUCCAUACUUGGUUAGUAUACAUGGAGUCCAUCUCAGAUUUCAUAGCUUCAAGCCAUUUCUCAGAAUCUGGUCCAUUCAUAGCUUCUUGGUAGGAAGCAGGCUCAUCCCGAUCAAAGAGCAUCACAUCGCCGUUUUGAGUCACAAGAAAUCUAUAAUAUCUCUCGGGCUCUGGGCGUGUCCUACCAGAUCUACGAAUGCCUCGUGUAAUUUGAACAGGUUCACUUUCCACAAUAUCUUGUGGUUCCUGCUCACUUUCCAACUCAGGUUCAAUGAUAUUUUAUGGUUCUCGAAUUUCUUCGAGUUCUACUUUCCUUUAGAGACAAAUUCUCUUUCUAGAAAAAUACCAGUUCGAGCAACAAACACUUUAUUCUCAGAAGAUUUGUAGAAAUAAUACCCUUUUGUUUCCUUUGGGUAUCCCACAAAAUUAUAUUUGUUAGAUUUGGGUCCGAGCUUGUUAGAAUCCAGACGUUUUACAAACGCCUCGCAACCCCAAAUCUUCAUGAACAACAUACUAGGAUGUUUCCCAGUCCACGUCUCAUAUGAUGUCUUCUGAACCGUCUUUGUAGGAACACGGUUAAGUAUGAAUGCAGUUGUCUCUAGGGCAUGACCCCAGAAGCUUAUUGGAAGAUCUACAUGACUCAUCAUUGAUCGUACCAUGUCCAAUAAGGUGUGAUUUCUCCUCUCAGAUACACCAUUCCUGUGACGCCCCCAAAUCCGAUCCGGGUUACCUGACUCCCGAGUUUGGUGCUCACGAUCCACAAUAUAAAUAACAUCUAACUACCCAUUUAAUUAUGAAUAGAAAUUUACCACUGAUAUAGUUAAUACAUUCGUCCCAGGUUAUCUAACCUUCAUAUUACAAACAUACCCUUUAGAUAUACAAAAAGGGUUUACAAAUACAACAUAUUAAUAAUGUUCAUAAAAACUACUCCAGCAUUUUGCCUUUGCCUUUGUUCUUCACAACACCUCCAGUCACUUCGUCCCUAGUUGAAAUGUUUUAUUUAGCAAGGGUGAGCAACAAAUUGCCCUGUAAGUUAAGAUAUACAUUGAAUGUAUAAGAAUCAGAACAACAGACUAUCUAUUUGGAUAGAAUGACACCAAAGUUCGGAGAACUUUGAAGUAGCUGAACAAAUCUCUAAUUACUAACAAGUCUUCUCACCAUCUAUGCAACACAAUCAUUUGAUAAUGAAAGAGUGCAACACUUUCAAAGUUUCUACGAUAUUUUAAUGAAUAACAAUUUAGAAAUAUUCUCCAGAGAUUAUACUGAAUGACCUUAAAUGAUCUUGAAAUUUUAUUCUCGAGUAACUAUUAAAGAUUUACUUUGAUAUAUCCAAAUAAGAAGAUGGAAAUAUUUUCCCAUAAUUUAUGUUGAGUGAUCACAAAGGAUCUUGAACUUCUCUUCUCGAGUAACUAUCAAAGAUUUACUUUGAUAUACCUAGGUGUAUCAGAUAACCAUAAAGAUUAAAUUAUACCCCUCUACAAGUAUAUAAAGUGAUCAGCUUCAUUAUACCCUAUAUUAUGCAUAAUACUUAAAAGUGUGCAAUGGCCGAAUAUACGACCUAAAAUGUUCCCUUUAUAUAAAAGGUUGUUCUUCUCAGUCUUUGAAUCAGAAUUUGAUUCAGCAACGAAAUGCAAUGAUUUCAAUAUCUAAUCACUUCUCUUCUCUUCUCAAACCUAUCAAGUUCUAACAAAUGUUCGUCUAGCCAGAACAAUUAGCUAAGACAUUUCUCAACACAAUUUAACAAUAGACAGAAUUUGACUGUACUAUUUGCAAUCACUAAUAGCUUCUACGGAUGUAAAUAUUCAACAAUAGUUAUUCUCCAAGUAUAUUCUCAGAAUCACUAAUUCAAUUUGAAUUAAUAAAUAUGCACUAACUGCGAAUAAUCAACAAUAAUUCUUAAAUGUGGUCUAAUCAACAAUAAUUAACAACCAUAAUAUUUAAAAGAUAUAACUCAAGGUUGAGUUAGGAAACUUGUCUUUCACGUUGAUUACUGCUACACAAUAUACUUAUCUGCAUUUGAAAGACCUAUAAUCAUAAUAUCGGUCUCACAAUUAGCAUAAUAAUUCACAACACACAAUACUGUAAUUUACAGUCAGUCAUUCUCCUAGACAUAUUACCACAUAGCCACAUUAGUGUUUAUAACCUAUAUAAACAUUUAUCAAGUCUAACUAGUUCGGUCUGGUUGGACUUCGGUCUCAUUUCGGUGUACUAGUCACCUUAUCCGAUAAUUAACACAUUAAUUGUCAAUUAAACUUGGUCUCUAAGCUUCAAUAUUAUUUUAGAUAAGUCAAAUAUCAUUUAUAAUACUUUUCGAAAGCUUUUAAUAAUUUAUAAAGAAUUAUUAUAAUUUAUAAUAAAUUUUCAAACACUGGAAUCAUUUUUAAAUGAUUUAAAUAUCGAAUAAUCUUAUCAUCAUUAAUAUUUAAUAAUAUUAAAAUAUUAAUGACAUAUUUGUCAAAAUAUUAAAGUUAUUAAUAAUAACUUAAAAUAUUUUUAAAUUAUCAAUAUUCUACUUAAAUAAUUUUUAAAGUAAUUAAAAUUAUUUUUAAAUCAUCGCCAUUAAUAUUUAAAUAUUAAUAAAAUUAUUAUCAAAAUAUUAAAAGUCAUUAAUUAUAACUUAAAAUAUUUUAAAUCACUUUUCUCAUUUUUAAAUCAAUAAAACCAUUAUCCUAUCAUUUAUUUAAUAUAAUAAUUAAAUAAAUCUAUAAUCAUUAAUAUUACAUUAUUAAUGAAAAUUACUCAAAAAUAUUAAAAGUUAUAUUUUAUAACUCAAAAUAUUUUUAAACACUUUAUUCUUAUUUAAAAUAAUUUUUAUAAUAUUAAAAUCAUUUUCUCUAAUUUAUUUAAUACACUAAUUAAAUAAAUUAAAUAUCAUUAAUAUUCAAAUAAAUAUAAAUAUUAAUGAAAAAUAUCUGAAAUUAUUAAAAGUUAUUUUUCAUAAUUUAAAAUAAUUUUUAAAACUAUUUUUGUAAUUUUUAGAAUUUAUUUUCUAUUUUUAAUUAAUUACCGAAAAAUAAGAAAAUAAAAUUUUCAAAACCGUCGUUGUAGCCCUUUAGCGACGCUUUCUGUCGUCUUAGGUGUUCUUGAACCUCAAGAACACUGACAGACCGAUUCUCAAGGUCCUUACUUUGACCAACAAUAAUUCUCAAUCCAAAAUGUUUCUGGGCAAUAUAUAACCAUGAUCUUGUAGUGUUUAUGUAACACUACAAGAAUCAACCAUCAACAAAGUCAUAACACAACUCAGAUGCAAGAUCCGAGCCCUCAAACUCACUGUCAGACGUUACCUGGGUUUUCCAGAAACCCAGGCAGUUCGAGUAACCAUCUUGUAACUCAAUUUUCUAGAAGUUCUGGUUAUUUAGAUAAGUGUUUUCUUGGUCCAAAUAGGUAGUCCAUAUGACUAGGAACAUUUAUAUACCAUGAUCUCAGUCCAACUACAUCAUAAACUCCAGAUUCAAUCCGGUCAAACAUUGUCAGGAAUUGUGUUCUUCCGAUUUCUGGGUUUUCCAGAAACGGCAAGUCAGUGUCGAGUGGUCUAGUUUGACCACCCAUUACUUCGAUUCUGUGUACUGUUUUUGGGAUCUAAAGCUAUGGAUCUAGAGUCCAUCUAACAGGCUACACUCUGGUUACAACAACAACGUCAUAUCAACUAACAUAUGACAGAUCAAUGCUUUGAAAAAUCUUGUCAGACCCCAGUUAUAUAUUUUUGGGUUACCCAGAAAUUGCUCGGUCAUGGUCGGUCAACCGACUUUGACCGGCUAUAUCUUGAAAUCUGGAAAUGGAAUAGCUUAGAUUCCACUUCCAGAUCACAGACCACAUGUCAGAGUAUGGAUUACAACUUUAAAACAACAAAAAUCAUAAACAGAAAAGAAUCUACAGCCACUGACAUUAUCUUGUCAGACGACAAAAAUGUUCUAGAGCAGUUUUUUGAAAAACUUCAUUUUUACCCACUUUGAUGUUAUGGAUCUAUUAUAGAUCAUCAUAAAACAUCUUUUAGCACAAAUCUAAACACAUAAACACAAACUUUACCUUAGCAUACAAGAUCAAAAGUAGGGUUUAGGUUUAUACCUCUGUUGUCCAAUCUUUGAUCUUAGCCCUCCUUAACUGAUCUUGGUGUUUCUAGGGUUUAAUUUGUGACUGAAAUACUUGUAUAAUUCGGAGGUUAGGAGAGAGAAGAGGUUUGUUGAGUGUUGGAGAGCAAAUGAGCAAAUUUUGGUAACUUUCUCUUUCUUAAUCUAUUAUAAUAUUAGAUACAAUGUAUACAAGUAAUGCUAGGUGUCCAUUUUGGAUCAGAUUUGCUGAGAUUUUAAGCCACAAGGUAAAAUAGUUCGUCCCCAACUCUUGAUUUGGUAAGAUUUACAAGUUAGCUCAUUAAAAAUAUAAAAAGGGCAAUUUGGUCCUUUGUAUUUUAAUUUUAAUGGAAUACUAGACUUUUAUCCAAACCCUUAGGGUUUAACCCUAAGGUUUUAACCCUUAGGUUUUACAACACUAACUUUCUAGAAUUUUCUAAAUUAGAGUUUUAAAAUAGAAAAUUAAGAUUUCUAAAAUGUAAUUAAGGGUUUUAAAUAGAAAUUAAAAUUUCUAAAGUAUAAUUAGGGUUUCCUAAUUAUAUUAACAUUUACUAAUCACUUUAGGCUUGCUAAUUAGGAUUAGGGUUUCAUAAUUAGGGUUUUAGGAUUCCCGAAUUUAAAUUAGGGUUUCUCGACUUUUGAUUAGGGUUCUUAACUACGCGUUAGGGUUUCAAAUCUUGAGAUUAGGGUUUCUAAUCCCUUAUUAGGGUUUACUAAUGUUUUACCCUACCCGAUCAAUCAUUGAUCAAUAAUUCUAAACAAUACAAAUACGUACUCAUUAAUAUAAUUAUUUUAAUUAUAUUUUCUAUCGAAACCCUAUCCGGACUUAGGGUUAGGGUUUCUAAAUCAGUUAAGCACAACUCUACUCUUAAUUCUCAAUCAAUACACAAAUUGACUUAUUCUCUAAACUCGUAUCACAUAUUCUCAGCUCAAUACUGAUAAUCAAUAUCAAUACUAAAUAAAUAAUAUAAAAAAAAUUAUUCGUAAAAUUCGGAUUAUUCGAAAUUCCGGGUUAUUACAUUCACCCCUCCUUAAAAGGAUUCCGUCCUCGGAAUCACCUCUUUCUUAUUCUCUACAAUCUUUUAAAGUUGUAUCAUUAAUUCAUUCUUAUCAACACAAUAUUAAUUUGUGUCUCAAAUUCUAACCUGUGACUUGGAUCUAUAAAUGAAAAUAAUUCACAGUAAUACUCAAAAUACUUGCGUAAUAAAAUUUCUAAACAAAAUCUUUACCUGCUGCUAUCUCCUGAGCAGCCACUGCAACUUGUACCGUCAUGUUGAAUGCACGGGCCGAUGGUCUUCCUGGCUAAAUAGGUCCUUGAAUCCCAAGGUUCCGCUACCGGGUCCAUUGUUGCCACUUUCGUUCUCCGCCUUUCUCUUCUGACAGUUCCGAACUAGAUGAUCAGUAGAUCCACACGCAAAGCAACCUUGUAUCUUCUUCGGAUUGGGACAAUUGGGCGACAUGUGCCCCAUUUGCCCACAGUUGUAACAAACUCCCUUCUUCUUCAAACAAACUCUAGAAUGAUUCCUCCCACAAGUUGCACAUGGCUCCCUUCAUUUCCUAUUCUCCUCUGUCUUGUUACCCGACUGGGUAUUCUUGCUCCACUUUCUCUUGUUUUAAUUACUACCACCACUGCUUCCUCCGUCAUUUGUCUUCUUCUUCUCCUGAUUAUAUCAGGAUGCUGUUUCGUUUCCUCCUUCAGUAAUAAUUGCUUUCUCCAACAAAGUCGCGAACGUAUUAAUCUGCAAUAUAGCUACUUUGUUGUAUAUACCAUGCUUCAAUCCAUUCUCAAACCUUCUCGCCUUCCUUAGUUCCGUAUCCACUUGAUGAGGUACGAAUCUCGCUAACUCGUUGAAUUUAGCAGCAUAUUCUGAUACCGACAUGUUCUUCUGCUUCAGUUCUAAAAACUUAACCUCCAUCCGAGCUUGAAUACUCGGUGAAAAAUAGUUCUCAUAUAAUUGCUUAUUUAUUCAAAUAGCACAUAUUACAUUCAGUACCCAUAUAUACAACUAUCCCUUUUUAAUAAUAUUAGGAUUAACAACACAACUUUACACAAAAAGUUAUAAUUCUCCAACUUUAUGCAAAAAUAUUACACUUCUCCAUUCACACAUAGCUAUUCUAGUUUGUCAAACUUACCACACUUAUGAGUUCAGGAACUUGCCAUAAUUAUAUGAGUGUAUGAACUUAUCCUAGUCAGACCUUUGGCGUCCAUUCGCUGAGGGGUUCAAAACAUUUCAUAUAAUUAUGAGUCAUGAACUUACCAUAAGUAUGAGUUUUAAGAACACACAAAUUAAUCUUAAUCUUAUACUCAUAUAGAAAAUAAAGAUUCAUACAAACAUAUAUAUAGUUACAUAUGCUUACACAUCAUUCUCGAUAUUACAAUCUUUAAUAUCACACACUACUACCAAAAGUUACUAUCGCUUAUACUUAAGUUGUCUACCUUCCACUCCCUUCACCAGUCUUCUUUUUACCAGGACACUUAUUAAAUCUGUGACUCGUUCUCCCAUAUGAAAAAUACUUCCUCAUAUUUGGCUUAGGACAAUGUAGGGAAAUAUGUCCUUCCUUCUUAUAAUUGAAACACACAUUCUUCCACAUCAUGCAUUCUCCCGCGUAAGUCUUCCCACACUUGCUACAGACUUGUUUCUUCUUCGGGUUUAACUUUGGAGAAUUAUCACUGUCGUGAUCCCUCUUUCUCUUAUUCUUGCCUUUCUUCUGCUUGAUUGUUCCUUCAGAUGAUCCACCACCUUCGGUCUUCAUCCUUUCCACCUGCGCCUUCAGCUCGUUCCGUUCUUCGGUCAUUUCGCAUAACGCUCACUCUGUCUUCCACAACUCCUCCAAGAGAAAUACUUUACUCCGGAGUUCUUGAACUUCUGCAGAUACUUGAUCUUGUUUUCCAACUUUAGUCUUAUUCUCUUUCUCCACCUUAGCUUCUUCGGACUCUGCCUCCUCAUCACCACUCAGAUACAUCUCGGGAUAAUCAUCAUGAUCACUCCCCAGAUUCACCAUGGGUUCAACUUUUCCCACUUCUUUAACUGACUCACUUUGCGAUGGCACCUCGGCUACUGGCACUGGUGCAACAGCCGCUAGCAUCUUCGUACUCAUUUCAUCUUCUCUAGACAUCCAACAAUCAGUUUAAAUAACUUGAUUAGUACUUUACCAGUACGAACUUCUCACACUAUGUGUCCACAUAUCUCACUAUUGAUGCACUUCGGCAAUCCCUCACUUAAAACUCUAAAUGAGUUUUCUCUAUCUCGCUUAUGGUUAUAAUCCUAGGGUUUUCCCCACCCCACUUAAGGUUUAAAACCUACAGCUUUGAUACCAACCUGUGACGCCCCUAAAUCUGGGUUACUUGACUCCCGAGUUUGGUGCUCACGAUCCACAAUAUAAAUAACAUCUAACUACCCAUUUAAUUAUGAAUAGAAAUUUACACCACAUUAACUGAUAUAGUUAAUACAUUCGUCCCAGGUUAUCUAACCUUCAUAUUACAAACAUACCAUUUAGAUAUACAAAAAGGGUUUACAAAUACAGCAUAUUAAUAAUGUUCAUAAAAACUACUCCAGCAUUUUGCCUUUGCCUUUGUUCUUCACAGCACCUCCAGUCACUUCGUCCCUAGCUGAAAUAUUUUAUUUAGCAAGGGUGAGCAACAAAUUGCCCUGCAAGUUAAGAUAUACAUUGAAUGUAUAAGAAUCAGAACAACAGACUAUCUAUUUCGAUAGAAUGACUCCAAAGUUCGGGGAACUUUGAAGUAGCUGAACAAAUCUCUAAUUACUAACAAGUCUUCUCGCCUUCUAUGCAACACAAUAAUUUGGUAAUGAAAGAGUGAAACGCUUUCAAAGUUUCUACGAUAUUCUAAUGAAUAACAAUUUAGAAAUAUUCUGCAGGGUUUAUACUUAAUGACCUUAAAUGAUCUUGAAAUUUUAUUGUUGGUCGAUUUCGCAAUCAAUGAAUACGUGAAAGUAUACACGGUCAACAAGUAAUAAAGUGAUAAUAAAAGUAUCGUUCCCACGAGGAAUUAUUUAAUAAAAAUUACCAAGUACUAACUCUUAACCAAAUCAAUUUUAUUUAAACAACUGCAAAUUGUGAUUUUUCAAAUUAAGAAAACUAAAUUAACUAAUUAAACUGAAUUACUUUAUAAAUGAAUUCAAAUAAAUAAAGGUUAAGACUACAAUAUCCCCAAUUAUGAACUACAAAUCAAUUAUCCAAUUAUCCCAAUUGUUAUGCCUACUGAAUUGUUAACGGGAAUUCUAAGUAUCAAAAGCCCUUUCUCAAGUGAUUAAUUAACUUCUAUUUAAUCCAAUUAAUCUUUCUAUAUUCCUAUGCAAAAUAAUUAAAUUAAACGCAUUAAAUUCCAAUUCCCAACGUGUUACAUGCAGCGAACAGAUAUUUUCAUUCCAUUCACAACCCUAAUUAUUCGUUAUGCAAAUAAUUAAGAAUACAUGUUAUCAUGCCCAGUUCUAAACCUAGAUCUCCUCUUCCAAUUCCUUCUAAAGUAACAAGGUAAUUAUUGGCCAAAUAAUUAAUCAAUACGCACAAGAUAAGAUAAACAAUUCACUUUGACAUAAAUAAUUGGAAUAAAUUGAAUAACUAAUUUAUAGACAUAAAAGGUUCAAUUGUAGUCUUAAUAAAAGAGUUAGUUCAUAAUUAAUGAAUUAAAACCAAGAAUCCACAACUGAAUAGACAUUAAAAGAUAAAAGUAUGAUAAGAGAAGUGAAUAGAAUUUGUUGUCAGCAAAUCUGAUGCUCCCCUCUUGUUCUUGCUCUUGAUCUCCAGUGUUCUUCAAUUUGCUUCAAUCUCCAAUGGCUAAUUAAGGACUAGGGUUAAUAUUCUAAUCUAAUGGAGUAUUUUAUCUAGUCUAAUCUAUCUCAUCUCCCAUUUAUUGUAUGCCUUCCAUUAUGUAUUUAUAGGUUACAAGUCCAAUUUUUAGCUUAGGAACAAACCCAAUCCUAUUUGGAGUCAAAAAAGUGUCAAAAUUCACCCCAAAAUGCGUCCAAGCUUGACCAAACUCUUUCCCAGCGCCCCGGCGCUGGGCAUGGCGCUAGAACACUGCCCCCUAGCCCCCCGGCGCUGGCCAUAGGCCUGAAAUGGGCGCCCCGGUGCUGGCCACUUUUUUGGAAAUUUUCUGCUCCGACGUCCUUUGGGAAAAUGGCCAUAACAUCUUCUUUCGAACUCCGAUUUUGAUGAUUCAAGAUGUUCCGAAAAGAGGAGACGUAGAUCUAAAACUUUCAUUCUUUGAGUUUUUCGAAAUAAGGUCUGGAACAAUGCUGAAAUUGGCUUUGAAGUGGCUACUAUUUAAAUGAUAAGCCGAAAACGAGCAUCUAGCCACCCCAAACGUCGAUCCACGUAAAUUUUGUCCCAAUUCCUACAAAACAACAUAAAAUAUGCAUGAAUAUACACAAACACUUAAAAACUUCUAAAAGAUUAAGAUCAAAUGCACUCAAUUCAUGGGUAUAAAACCCAUUCAUCAUUUAUUCUCGAGUAACUAUCAAAGAUUUACUUUGAUAUACCCAAAUAACAAGAUGGAAAUAUUUUCCCAGAAUUUAUGAUGAGUGAUCACAAAGGAUCUUGAACUUCUCUUCUCGAGUAACUAUCAAAGAUUUACUUUGAUAUACCCAAGUGUAUCAAAUAACCAUAAAGAUUAAAUUAUACCCCUCUGCAAGUAUAUAAAGUGAUCAGUUAUAUUAUACCCUAUAUUAUGCAUAAUACUUAAAAGUGCGUAAUAGCCGAAUAUAUGACCUAAAAUAUUCCCUUUAUAUAAAAGGUUGUUCUUCUCAGUCUUUGAAUCACAAUUUGAUUUAACAACUAAAUGCAAUGAUUUUAAUAUCUAAUCACUUCUCUUCUCUUCUCUUCUCAAACCUAUCAAGUUGUAACAAAUGUUCGUCUAGUCAGAACAAUUUGCUAAGACAUUUCUCAACACAAUUUAACAAUAAAUAGAAUUUGACUGUACUAUUUGCAAUCACUAAUAUAUUCUACGGAUGUAAAUAUUCAACAACAGUUAUUCUCCAAGUAUAUUCUCAGAAUCACUAAUUCAAUUUGAAUUAAUAAACAUGCACUAACUGCGAAUAAUCAACAAUAAUUCUCAAAUGUGGUCUAAUCAACAAUAAUUAACAACCAUAAUAUUUAAAAGAUAUAACUCAAGGUUGAGUUAGGAAACUUGCCUUUCACGUUGAUUACUGCUACACAAUAUACUUAUCUGCAUUUGAAAGACCUAUAAUCACAAUAUCGGUCUCACAAUUAGCAUAAUAAUUCACAACACACAAUACUGUAAUUUACAGUCAGUCAUUCUCCUAGACACAUUACCACAUAGCCACAUUAGUGUUUAUAACCUAUAUAAACAUUUAUCAAGUCUAACUAGUUCGGUCUGGUUGGACUUCGGUCUUAUUUCGGUAUACUGGUCACCCUAUCCGAUAAUUAACACAUUAAUUGUCAAUUAAACUUGGUCUCUAAGCUUCAAUAUUAUUUUAGAUAAGUCAAAUAUCAUUUAUAAUACUUUUCGGAAGCUUUUAAUAAUUUAUAAACAAUUAUUAUAAUUUAUAAUAAAAUUUCAAACACUGGAAUCAUUUUUAAAUGAUUUAAAUAUCGAAUAAUCUUAUCAUCAUUAAUAUUUAAUAAUAUUAAAAUAUUAAUAACAUAUUUGUCAAAAUAUUAAAGUUAUUAAUAAUAACUUAAAAUAUUUUUAAAUUAUUAAUAUUCUAAUUAAAUUUUUUUUAAAGUAAUUAAAAUCAUUUUUAAAUCAUCGCCAUUAAUAUUUAAAUAUUAAUAAAAUUAUUAUCAAAAUAUUAAAAGUCAUUAAUUAUAACUUAAAAUAUUUUAAAUCACUUUUCUCAUUUUUAAAUGAUUUUUAAAUCAGUAAAACCAUUUUCCUAUCAUUUAUAUAAUAUAAUAAUUAAAUAAAUCUAUUAUCAUUAAUAUUACAUUAUUAAUGAAAAUUACUCAAAAAUAUUAAAAGUUACAUUUUAUAACUCAAAAUAUUUUAAACACUUUAUUCUUAUUUAAAAUGAUUUUUAUAAUAUUAAAAUCAUUUUUCUCUAAUUUAUUUAAUACACUAAUUAAAUAUCAUUAAUAUUCAAAUAAAUAUAAAUAUUAAUGAAAAAUAUUUGAAAUUAUUAAAAGUUAUUUUUCAUAAUUUAAAAUAAUUUUUAAAACUAUUUUUGUAAUUUUUAGAAUUUAUUUUCUAUUUUUAAUUAAUUUCCAGAAAAUCAGAAAAUAAAAUUAUCGCUAUAGCCCUUUAGCGACGCUUUCUGUCGUCUUAGGUGUUCUUGAACCUCAAGAACACUGAAAGACCGAUUCUCAAGGUACUACUUUGACCAACAAUAAUUCUCAAUCCAAAAUGUUUCUGGGCAAUAUAUAACCAUGAUCUUGUAGUGUUUAUGUAACACUACAAGAAUCAACCAUCAACAAAGUCAUAACACAACUCAGAUGCAAGAUCCGAGCCCUCAAACUCACUGUCAGACGUUACCUAGGUUUUCUAGAAACCCAGGCAGUUCGAGUAGCCAUCUUGUAGCUUAAUUUUCUAGAAGUUCUGGUUAUUUAGAUAAGUGUUUUCUUGGUCCAAAUAGGUAGUCCAUAUGACUAGGAACAUUUAUAUACCAUGAUCUCAGUCCAACUACAUCAUAAACUCCAGAUUCAAUCCGGUCAAACAUUGUCAGGAAUUGUGUUCUUCCGAUUUCUGGGUUUUCCAGAAACGGCAAGUCAGUGUCGAGUGGUCUAGUUUGACCACCCAUUACUUCGAUUCUGUGUACUGUUUGUGGGAUCUAAAGCUAUGGACCUAGAGUCCAUCUAACAGGCUAUACUCUGGUUACAACAACAACAUCAUAUCAACUAACAUAUGACAGAUCAAUGCUUUGAAAAAUCUUGUCAGACCCCAGUUAUGGAUUUCUGGGUUACCCAGAAAUCGCUUGGUCAUGGUCGGUCAACCGACUUUGACCGGUUAUAUCUUGAAAUUUGAAAAUCGAAUAGCUUAGAUUCCACUUCCAGGUCACAGACCACAUGUCAAAGUAUGGAUUACAACAUUAAAACAACAAAAAUCAUAAACAGAAAAGAAUCUAUAGCCACUUACAUUAGCUUGUCAGACGACAAAAAUGUUCUAGAGCAGUUUUUUGAAAAACUUCAUUUUUAUGCACUUUAAUGUUAUGGAUUGUUGCCUCUUUUUUAGUCUUAACAAAAGAGCUCUAACUCAUGCAAGCAUACAUGUGUCAACAAGCAAUACAGAGUAAGUAAAGUAUCGAUUUCACAGAGAAAGUUGUUUAACUAAGAUUACUAUUCAGUAAUUGAAUCACUAUAUUUAUAUGCUCAAACUAAUGAUUAAACUUGGUUUGUUCUCGAAUUGCAAAUAACAACUAAAAUAAUAAUAACGAUGGAAUAAAUGAUAUUGGAACUAAUGAGAUCCUAACUUCAUUUAAUACUUCAUUCAAUCACCACUAUCAUGCAUGACUCGUUCACAUAUCACAGAAAAGUAGCCAAGAGCACUAAAAGAGUAUUAGCCAUUUUUCAAUGCACUAAGACCUACUUACACAGCAUCCACAGAUGAUAGACUCUAUGUAAUCAUCAAUAUAACCAAAAUCACUAUAUGUCUAUGUGAAAUUGCAACUAUAUUAAUUUUAAGUUCAAGCCCUUAUUAUAACUUAUACGGUGAAACAGUAUGUGUCUAUCUGGUUCACGAAAUAUAAAAGCCAUAUUACACAACCCUAUAUACGUAUUCUAUCAUGAUUACAAUCCAUAUUUGAAUGUUCAUUGUUAAUUCCAUACAAAUACUGAAACGAAUGGUGAUCAAGCAUUCAUACAUGCAAAACAAUCAUGAUAGACAUCCCAUAUGAUAUGUAAAACAAUCCAGCAUUUAAGCAUGCAAUCAAACUACAUAUUAAAAUCCGUUAGAGUCCCAUAAUGGAGUUUAGUUCAUGACUGAACCAAAAGCCAUUAUGGGAUCAAAUCUAAACAUGGUGAAUAAACGACAAUUAAAAGAUGAAAGAUGAAACUAUCAAAUCCAAUUGCUGAAUAUAAAUCAAUAUUCGAAUCCACAUAAGAAUCCAGCAAAACUAAUAAUAAUAAUCCACUCUGGUAGAAAAUCCCAAGAAGGAGUAGAAAAGUAGAGUUGUGGCCUCCUUCUACGUUGGAAUCUCUCCUAGAGAAUAAACCCUAAUUACCACGUACAGAAUAAAACUAAAGUUGAAUAAAAUGUCAAGUGAUACCCCUGACACCAGUCAGGAAUCAUUUUUAAAUCAAUUACAACCCUUAAAAAUUGGAAAUAAAAUAAAACAAGUCAGCAGCUUCAGGCCUCGUGCGCGGCCGCGCGCUCCUCCAGCUUGUUAUGCUCACGAGCGCGAGACUUGCAGUAGGCUCUUAUGUUCAGCCGGUCUCUCACGCGGGCACGCGCUCCCUAGCAUUGUCCUUCUCGCGGCCGCGCAACUUGCAGUAGGUUCCAAGGUCUGGCUGGGUACUCGCGCGGGCUCGCGCUCUCAAGGCUAUUCUGCCGCGCGGUCGCGCGGCUUACAAUCUGCAGAUCCUGGUUCUUGUUCUGAUUCUGUCAUGCUGCUGCUGCUACUUGUUCAUGCAUGCUUAAUCUCCUUGCUCCAUUGCACCUUCAUGCCAUGCAUAUCCCAUCUUUUGCCUCGUCUCAAGCAUCCAUUAGCCUUGUGCUCAAUAACACCACCAAAAUAGGCCGAUUCCUGCACUUAUUCACCAAAAGGAGUUUUAAGUAUGCGAAAUGCAAAUUAUCAUGAAAUGCAGCUAAAACCUAGUAAAAUGUACUUGAGAUGGGCAUAAUUCGCAUGAAUUGGUACUCCAUAAGUAGGUGUAAAUUCUACUUAUCAAAUACCCCCAAACUUGAACUAUUGCUUGCCCUCAAGCAAUGCAUACUAAUAAACAAUAAAAAUGCAACUAUAUGACUAUGCAACUAAUUUUCACAUUGUCCAAACUAUCAUAGAAAUUCAGUCCAAUUUGCCUCAGUGAAUUUUUUUUUCUUCUAGAUUCUAGAAUACAGAUUCAAAUCAAACUGCAGGUAUAAUGUCAUACACUCAGAUAAUUCAAAAAUGCUAUAAAGAUGCUAUGUGUGUGUGUUGUGUUCGCGCAAAACUCGAUUUAGGUAUAGAAUACUCAUGCUAUCUUGCUCAAACCAGAAAAUUAUAGCUUAAAUCAAGACUUAUGUAUAUAUAUGUAACCAAGACUAUUUCAACAUCUUAAAAUAAACUAAGGUUCAACAAUGGGCUUAACUUCUUUAUUCUACUCACGAGGGUGACUUUCGCACUUUCCCGCGGUGUUUAUUGUUAUUUUUCUUUUAUUUUCUUUUCUUUCUUUUUCGUCAUGACUGUGCAAUGUCUUACUCCAUUAGGCACACUGCUACCCCUUAGAAAGCUUUCGACCAACGACUCCUAGACCAUGAAAGACCUUAGGGCGCUAGGUGUAGAGACAAUCCCCUCGGGCGUACUUACUCAAGUAGCCAGGGCCCCGAAAUAAGACUAGCCAUGCUAUUUCUACUUUUCUUUCCUUUUUUUUAUACACAGAUACCCAUGUUUUCCCAAAGUUUAAAAAUCAAUGUUUUAUACAGUCCAAAAGUCACUUUUCACAUAUUUCUCUUUUUAACACUACAUUUUUCUAUCGAGCAAUGUACAACGUACUUCGUAUACCUACAAGUGCUUGUGAACACAUUUGUGCAAACCGAAAGCAUUUAAACUGCAUUAUGAAUUUCAUUGUAUAAAACGUUAUAUCUCAGCUCAUGUUAUCCAACAUAUUCAGAAAUCAUUUAAACACUUCACUAUCAUCAUUGGCUAGACAAAAAUUUCUAUACGGUAAGAACUGUGAGGUAUGCAACUAUAACAUGCAACUAUAUGCUAAAAUGUAAUCUAAACAUGCAAUAACUAUAAAAAUUAAACUAAUCAUGCAAAACUAUAUGCAAACUAAACCUACUACUACCCAAUAUCCCCAAACUUAAAAUAUUCAAUGUCCCAAUUGAAUGAAGGUAAAGGGUACGAAAAACUCCCCUAAUUAUCGGUGGUGCCACCCUCCUCGGGUGGUGAAUCCGGUGGUGGAUAUGGUGUUGCGGUUCCAAACUGAGGCCAUUCUUGUGUUGUUCCUUGUUGCGCAAAUGCUUCGGCUAAAGCCCUUGUGAGUCCCAUCGUAAAUGUGCCCAAAUUAUCGUAUAUAGCAUCGACCUUGCGCUCCAACCUUCGGAGCUGGCGAUCGCCAUGGGUGGCACGCGCGUGCGUGGACGGGCCUGCCUCGUCUGUCUAUGGGGGUUGUUGUGACGGCUCUGGAAAAGUGGGCUGAAGGAUGAAUCCUAGUCCGCGUGGGUGUGGUAUACCACUUGCCCAGUCCUCGAAUUUUUCGAUCGUGGCAUGAGUAAUAUCCUGGCUUGGGUAUUGCAUCUGCUCAUUGCCCCAGUUGCAUCCCUGAUUAGCACAAAGCAUGGCAACCACGGAUGCGUAUGGAAUGCUCCCAAUCGUUCUUCCCCGUAGAUAGCGCAUCAUAUUCUCGUGAAUGAGAUGACCAAUGUCGAUGUACUUUACGGUGAUUAUGCCCCCACAGAAUACGUGCCCUCUCCGCUGUUAUUUCGUGCUGAUGGGCAGAAGGCAUGAGCUUGGCGCAUAUGAACAAGUUCCACGCUUUUACAUAGCGAUUUAAGGCUGCAGCUGGGAAUAUAUGCGGUUGUGUCAUGCCAACUUUAUAUGUCCAUUUCGUACCCGGCACACAUAACUCUGUAAUAAUCAACUCCAUGUCGGUCUCCAAAUGAGCACCGGUUACCCAAUUAGCAGCCCCCACUGGUGGUGCAUCAAUAAUUUUGAAAAUUAAUCGGAUGGCACGGGGUAUGUAAUCUACCUCGAUACCACAAACCAGAGACAUUCCGCUCAUAGUGACCUUGGCAUUGGCAUAGAAUUCACGGACUACGUUAAUAGGAACGGGUAUUGGAGUAGCCGUCAGUCCACCCCAGCCUAUUUCUCGAAUCAUGGCGCACAACUGGCCAUCCUGCCCCGCCGGUUUGAAUCCUCGCUCCUUGACGAACGCUUUCGCCACAAUGCGGUAGUACUCUUGUUGAGCUUCCAAGUUGAGGAACUUGGUAUGAUCCACAAUAUCAGCCACUUGGCUGCCCGAAGAGGAUGAAGAAGACGAAGUAAUAGACCUUGUUCGCUUAGGCCCCAUUUGUGUUUGAUAGAAGUUGCACAGAUUAUAUGAAUGAGAAUGAAGAAAAGAUUGAAGAAUUUCUACCCCCAAUACUCGUUUCUGUAAUCCAAAUUUGAACCCUAGCUUUAUAGUGCACUUUAGAGAAGUUGAGGAGAUAUGGACUUUGACUGAGGCAAGAAUCGUGGCUAAUUGAUCGAGAGAUGUACGGCACAACUUGUAACUGAUAGAUAGAUAGCGACGUGAGUUAUGGAGAGUGAGAGAAUUUCGUGUCUGUUAUUAUCCUAAAUGAGAGUUCAAAUGGUCCACGACUCUUUUUUUAAACUAUUCAGAUCUGUCUUAAUCCGGUGUCGUGCGCGGCCACAUGCGUUUGUACUAAUCUGGGCGCGCGGGCGCGAGACUUGCAAAAUGUUUUGUUGGCCUGAUUAACUUGACGCGCGGGCGCGCGAGUUUUUGCUUUAUGGGUCGCGCGGCCGUGCGAUCUUGCUAUCUGCAAUGUGAACAUUCAAUUCCACUCUUCGUAUCAAUGAUGUGGCCCAAUGAUGGUUCCUGCAUAGAUAUUAAUACAUCUUGUUAAGGCAUGACUUAGUAACCACAUAGUGCUGACAUCUUGCAAAUAUUCGCAACGCCAGUCUUGCUACACACUUAAGCAUGAACAUCUAACAACCCAUUAAAAAUGACUUCGAUAUAAUGACUGAAGUAAUCCAAAAUGAAUAACUAAAAAUAAAUCAAUGAGGAUAGAAAUAAUGGGUUGCCUCCCAUCCAGCGCUAAGUUAUAGUCAAUUAGCUUGACUAUCUCUGAGUUUCAUGUCAUAGAUAGAAUUGAGGUGCCUUCCUUCUUGUCCGCCGCACCCUGGAAUUUAAUGACUUCAUCUUUCGUCAAUGGCUCUACCUUCAACUCUGAAUUUCUACCCAUUGCACACCUCAACGAUCCAUAAUUCCUUGAUUUCUGUACCUUAUCUUGUAGGCCUCAAUCCACCACAUCAACCAGGAAGCACUCUUCUUCCUCCGUUGGUAAAUUGAUUGCUUUGAAGACAUUAAAGGUGACCUCUUGAUCAUGAACACGCAUAGUGAGUUCCCCCUUUUGCACAUCUAUCAGAGUCUUUCCUGUGGCUAAGAAUGGUCUUCCCAAUAUUAUUGGUAUGCUUUUGUCCUCCUCGUAGUCUAGGAUGAUGAAUCAGCUGGAAAAAUAAACUUAUCUACCUUAACCAACACAUCCUCAACAAUUCCUUGUGGAUACGUGAUCGAUCUAUCAGCUAGCUGUAAUGAUAUGUUUGUCGGUUUUGGAUCCGGCAAUCCCAACUGGUUUAAUACUGACAAGGGCAUCAGAUUUAUGCUUGCCCCAAGAUCACAUAAACACUUACUGAAGUUCAUCUUUCCAAUGGUGCAUGGAAUUGUGAAGCUGCCCGAAUCCUUCAGCUUUGGAGGUAAUUUUUGCUAAAGCACUGCACCGCAUUCUUUUGUUAAGGCUACUGUUUCAAACUCAUCUAGUCUCCUCUUCCUUGACAGUAUACCCUUCAUAAACUUGGCGUAGCUGGGCAUUUGUUUUAAUGCCUCGGCGAAUGGUAUGUUGAUCUGUAGCUUUUUGAAUACCUCCAGGAAUUUGCUGAACUGUUUAUCUUCCCUUUUUUUAUUUAAUCUCUGCGGAUACGGAACUUGAAUGUGAAUUGGUGGUAAUGGACUCUUAAACUUCUCCUUUGAACCUGCUCUCUCAGUCUCUUCCUGUUGACCCUCAGAUUUCUCCCAAUUUUCUUUCUCAGUAGCUGGCUCCUCUGCCUCGCGCGGUCGCGCGGCCUCCUCAUUGCCUUCUCGCGUGGGCGCGCGACUUACAGUAAUUGACAAAUCUUUCCCAGAUCUCAAUGUGAUCGCUUAACACUGUUCCUUCCCUUCUUUUCUUGGAUUUGUCUCCGUAUUACUUGGCAAUGAACCCUGGGGCCUGUUAGUAAGCAUAUUUUCCAUCUGCCCCAUUUGAGUUUCCAGAUUCUUUAUAGCCACUGCUUGGCUCUUGAUCAUAACUUUUGUGUUUGCCAUGUAAUUCAUCAUCAUCUCCUCCACUUCUGAUUUCUUUUCUUACUGAGGUGCAGCUGGAGUGUGAUGUUGCUGUUGUUGUUGAGAAAAUCCUGACGGAAAGGGUGGUCUAGGAUUAAACUGCGGCUGCGCCUGAAAUUGAUUAUUUGGUUAAAACUGACUCUGUUGAUUCCUUUGAUUAUUCGACCAACUAAAGUUUGGAUGAUUUCUGUUGUUGGGGUGGUAUGUGUUCUGAAAUUGACCUUGGUCUUUUCUAUAGUUGCUCACAUACUGCACUGAUUCUGAGCUAAUAGCACAUUGAUCCGUCGAGUGUGACCCCGCAUAAAUCUCACAUACGAAGGCAACCAUCUUUACUUUUCCUUCCGCCAAAGUAUCUAUCUUCUUUGCCAUGGCUGCCAUCUGUGCUGACAACUGAGAUAUAGCAUCAACCUCCAACACACCUGCAACUUUGGUUUGUGGCAUUCGAGAUGUAGGAUUCUAAAAAUCAUUCGAUGCCAUUGUCUCGAUAAGGUCAUAGGCUUCCUCAUAGUUCUUUGCCCAUAAUGCCCCUCCUACAGCUGCAUCUACAAUCGGUCUCGACUGCCAUCCCAAUCCAUUAUAAAAUGUGUUAAUUACCAUCCAAUCUGGCAUACCGUGAUGUGGGCACUUUCUCAGCAUUUCUUUGUAUCUCUCCCAUGCUUCAUAUAAUGACUCGCCCUGUUGUUGCUCAAACUGAGAGAUAGCUUUCCUCAUCUUAGCAGUCUUAGCCAUUGGGAAGAACUUAGCUAAGAAUUUCUGUGUUAAAUCCUCCCAUGUAGUUAUAGAUCCCGUUGGCAGAGAAUGAAGCCAACUUUUCGCUUUAUCCCUCAACGAAAAUGGGAACAACCUUAGGCCUAAUAGCAUCCACCGUCACACCGUUGUAUCUGAAUGUAUCACAAAUUUCGAUGAAACUUAACAGGUGUUUGUUCUGAUCAUCCGUAGCACCACCCCCAAACUGAACUGUAUUUUGCACCAUUUGAAUAAUGUCAGUUUUUAUCUCGAAAGUAUUGGCUACUAUCGCUGGUCUGAUUAUGCUGGAUUGUAGUCCAUUAAUAUUAGGCAUGGAAUAUUCUUUCAGAGCCCUAUGCUCCUCUCUUUGCUCUUCUCCUUGCACCUCGGCUGCCAUGUUAUCUGUCGUAUUUUCCAACUAGACUUGUAAAUUUCUACGAACACCCGUUUUCCAACCUCUCCCGUUUAUGUUAUCCUGAACAGGUGUUAAAUCGGGGUUGGUUGACCGCGUGCGCAUAAAAAUUUAUCUAAGUUCCUAAAACAAAAACAUAAAACUGAAAUGAGAUAAGACUAGAAUUGUCUAAGUCAUAUAAUAUAGCUUAAAACUAAUGAUAAUAAUACUAAAUUAAACGCCUUUCCUCGGCAACGGCGCCAAAAACUUGUUGCCUCUUUUUUAGUCUUAACAAAAGAGCUCUAACUCAUGCAAGCAUACAUGUGUCAACAAGCAAUACAGAGUAAGUAAAGUAUCGAUCUCAUAGAGAAAGUUGUUUAACUAAGAUUACUAUUCAUUAAUUGAAUCACUAUAUUUAAAUGCUCAAACUAAUUAUUAAACUUGGUUUGUUCUCGAAUUGCAAAUAACAACUAAAAUAAUAAUAACGAUGGAAUAAAUGAUAUUGGAACUAAUGGGAUCCUAACUUCAUUUAAUACUUCAUCCAAUCACCACUAUCAUGCAUGACUCGUUCACAUAUCACAGAAAAGUAGCCAAGAGCACUAAAAGAGUAUUAGCCAUUUUUCAAUGCACUAAGACCUACUUACACAGCAUCCACAGAUGAUAGACUCUAUGUAAUCAUCAAUAUAACCAAAAUCACUAUAUGUCUAUGUGAAAUUGCAACUAUAUUGAUUUUAAGUUCAAGCCCUUAUUAUAACUUAUACGGUGAAACAAUAUAUGUCUAUCUGGUUCACGAAAUAUACAAGCCAUAUAACACAGCCCUAUAUACGUAUACUAUCAUGAUUACAAUCCAUAUUUUCAUAUUCAUUGUUAAUUCCAUACAAAUACUGAAAUGAAUGGUGAUCAAGCAUUCAUACAUACAAAACAAUCAUGAUAGACAUUCCAUAUGAUAUGUAAAAUAAUCCAGCAUUUAAGCAUGCAAUCAAACUACAUAUUAAAAUAUGUUAGAAUCCCAUAAUGGAGUUUAGUUCAUGACUGAACCAAAAGCCAUUAUGGGAUCAAAUCUAAACAUGGUGAAUAAACGACAAUUAAAAGAUGAAAGAUGAAACUAUCAAAUCCAAUUGCUGAAUAUAAAUCAAUAUUUGAAUCCACAUAAGAAUCCAGCAAAACUAAUAAUAAUAAUCCACUCUGGUAGAAAAUCCUAAGAAGGAGUAGAAAAGUAGAGUUGUGGCCUCCUUCUACGUUGGAAUCUUUCCCAGAGAAUAAACCCUAAUUACCACGUAAAGAAUAAAACUAAAGUUGAAUAAAAUGGCAAGUGAUACCCUUUACACCCGUCAGGAAUCGUUUUUAAAUCAAUUACAACAAAUUGGAAAUAAAAUAAAACAAGUCAGCAGCUUCAGGCCUCGCGCGUGGCCGCGCGCUCCUCCAGCUUGUUAUGCUCGCGGUCGCGAGACUUGCAGUAGGCUCUUAUGUUCAACCGGUCUCUCACGCGGGCGCGCGCUCCCUAGCAUUGUCCUUCUCGUGGCCGCACAACUUGCAGUAGGUUCCAAGGUCUGGCUGGGUACUUGCGCGGGUGCGCGCUCUCAAGGCUAUUCUGUCGCGCGGCCGCGCGGCUUGCAAUCUAUAGAUCCUGGUUCUUGUUCUGAUUCUGUCAUGCUACUGUUGCUGAUACUUGUUCAUUCAUGCUUAAUCUCCUUACUCCAUUGCACCUUCAUGCCAUGCAUAUCCCAUCUUUUGCCUCGUCUCAAGCAUCCAUUAGCCUUGUGCUCAAUAACACCACCAAAAUAGGCUGAUUCCUGCACUUAUUCACCAAAAGGAGUUUUAAGUAUGCGAAAUGCAAAUUAUCAUGAAAUGCAGCUAAAACCUACUAAAAUGUACUUCAGAUGUGCAUAGUUCACAUGAAUUAGUACUCCAUAAGUAGGUGUAAAUCUUACUUAUCAUGGAUCUAUUAUAGAUCAUCAUAGAUCAUCAUAAAACAUCUUUUAGCACAAAUCUAAACACAUAAACACAAACUUUACCGUAGCAUACAAGAUCAAAAGUAGGGUUUAGGUUUAUACCUCUCUUGUCCAAUCUUUGAUCUUAGCCCUCCUUAACUGAUCUUGGUGUUUCUAGGGUUUAAUUUGUGACCGAAAUACUUGUAUAAUUCGAAGGUUAGGAGAGAGAAGAGGUUUGUUGAGUGUUGGAGAGAAAAUGAGCAAAUUUUGGUAACUUUCUCUUUCUUAAUCUAUUAUAAUCUUAGAUACAAUGUAUACAAGUAAUGCUAGGUGUCCAUUUGGAUUAGAUUUGCUGAGAUUUUAAGCCACAAGGUCAAAUAGUUGGUCACCAACUCUUGAUUUGGUAAGAUUUACAAGUUAGCUCAUUAAAAAUAUAAAAAGCGCAAUUGGGUCAUUUGCAUUUUAAUUUUAAUGGCACACUAGACUUUUAUCUAAACCCUUAGGGUUUAACCCUUAAUGUUUAACCCUAAGGUUCUAAUCCUUAGGUUUUACAACACUAACUUUCUAGAAUUUUCUAAAUUAGAGUUUUAAAAUAGAAAAUUAAGAUUUCUAAAGUGUAUUUUAGGGUUUUAAAUAGAAAUUAAAAUUUCUAAGUAUAAUUAGGGUUUCCUAAUUAUAUUAACAUUUACUAAUCACUUUAGGCUUGCUAAUUAGGAUUAGGGUUUCUUAAUUAGGGUUUAGGAUUUCUAAAUUUAAAAUUAGGUUUUCCCGACUUUCGAUUAGGGUUCCUAACUACACAUUAGGGUUUCAAAUCUUGAGAUUAGGGUUUAUAAUCCCUUAUUAGGGUUUACUAAUGUUUUACCCUACCCGAUCAAUCAUUGAUUAAUAAUUCUAAACAAUACAAAUACGUACUCAUCAAUAUAAUUAUUUUAAUUAUAUUUUCUAUUGAAUCUCUAUCUUGACUUAGGGUUAGGGUUUCUAAAUCAGUUAAGCACAACUCUACUCUUAAUUCUCAAUCAAUACACAAAUUGACUUAUUCUCUAAACUCGUAUCACAUAUUCUCAGCUCAAUAUUGAUAAUCAAUAUCAAUACUAAAUAAAUAAUAAUGAAUAUAUAAAUAAAAAUUAUUCGUAAAAUUCGAAUUAUUCGAAAUCUCGGGUUAUUACAAUUCCAUUGUGGUGUUCUAGGUGGAGUGAGUUGUGAUAUAAUACCACACUCCUUUAGAAGGUCAUCAAAGUCUUAGCUUAAGUAUUCACCUCCUCGAUCGGAUCGAAUGGCUUUUAUGCUAUUGCAAAAUUGGUUUUGAACUUCAUUCUUGAAUUCCUUGAACUUUUCAAAGGAUUCGGAUUUAUGUCUCAUAAGAUACACAUAUCCAUAUCUACUGAAGUCGUCAGUAAAUGUAAUGAAGUAAUAAAACCUACCUCUUGCUAACGAACUCAUGGGUCCACAUACAUCACUAUAUAUAAGUCCCAAUACAUCGCUAACCCGUUCACCGUGUCCAGUGAAAGAGGCUUUAGUCAUCUUGCCUAAUAAACAAGACUCACAUCUCUCAUAUGAUUCAAAAUCAAAUGAAUCCAAAAACCCAUCUUUAUGGAGUUUGGAUAUGCGUUUCUCAUUUAUAUGGCCUAAACGACAAUGCCAGAGAUAUGUCGGAUUUGAAUCAUUUGAUUUAAAUCGUUUUAUAUUUAUGUUAUAGAUAGGCAUUUCUAAAUCAAGAAUAUAAAGACCAUUAAAUAAUUGUGCAACACCAAAGCAUAUUUCAUUUAAGUAAAACGAACAACGGUUGUUCUUUAUUACAAAUGAAAAACCUUUCUUGUCCAAACAAAAAAUAGAAAUAAUGUUUUUGCUUAUAGUAGGCACAUAAAAACAAUCAUCUAAUUCUAAUACUUGCCCAGUGGGCAAAGAUAAAUGAUAAGUUCUUAUGGCUAGUGCAACAACUUUUGCUUCAUUCCCAACUCUUAGGUCAACCUCUCCUUCUACCAAAGUCCUACUCCUUCGAAGUUCCUGUACAUUAACAUAAAUGUGAGAACCACAUCCAGUAUCCAAUACCCAUGAUGUAGAAGUGAACAAGUUGACUUCUAUAACAUAUAUACCUGAAUUAAAAGUCACACUUUCUUUCUUUUACUUCACUUCUUCAAAAUAAACAUGACAAUUCCUCUUCCAGUGUCCAGGUUUUCCACAGAAGUGACAAUCACCUUCCUUAGCCACCCCGCCUUUAGGUUUUAAAGCAUGUUUGGUUUUGGAAUUGGGUUUGGCACCAGAUUUAGAUCCUAUCUUCUUCUUGCCCUUCCAAUUUCCCUUAGCAUUCCCCUUUUGCACCAUCUUUAUGGGAGCACAUCCUGCCUUUUUCAUGUUAUUCUUGGCAGUUCUUAACAUGCUCAACAACUCAGUAAGUGGUUUCUCAAUUUCAUUCAUGAGAUAAUUCAUAACAAAUUGAGAGUAGCUGUUGUUCAAAGAUUGCAAAAUAAGAUUAGUUUGGGCUUACGGAGUAAUCGAAAAACCCAACCUAUCAAGGUACUCAAUAUAUCCAAUCAUUUUCAGCACAUAUGGACCAACUGGUUCACGUUCACCCAUCUUGUAGUGAUACACCGCCUUGCUUAUAUCAUACAUCUCCUGUCGAGCAUGCCCUUCGAACAAUUUCUUGAGAUGCUCGAUCAUCUCAUAAGCAUCCAUUAACUCAUGUUGCUUCCGAAGCUCAGUGUUCAUAGUUGCUAGCAUGAGACAACUCACGUCCAAAGCAUCAUCUUGAUGUUUCUUGUAAGCAUCAUGCUCUACACGUCGUGCAAUAUCAAUUGGUGCUGCAGGAAUGGGCUUUUCAAUGACAUAUAGCUUGCGCUCUUAUUUGAGGACAAUCCUCAAGUUCCUAUACCAGUCAAGGAAAUUAAUUUCACUCAGCUUUUCCUUCUCAAGGACUGAUCGUAGUAAAAGACUAUUUGUGUUUUUGUUGUUUACUAUUAAUAUCUACAAUUUAUAAGUGAAAAAAUAAUAAGUCAAAGUAUUUGAUAUUAUGUAAUUGAUAAUAGUACAUUCAAAAUAUACCUCCCACUAUUUUAUUCAAAUUAAUAGCCCUCACCAUUAAUUCGAAAAGCAUUUCUAUUAAAUCUUUUUAGUGAGCCAAGAUCCAUAUUUCAUUAUGCCUUAAGUUAGCUUUGGCUAAUCUCUCAAAACACAAUUAUUUAGGUAGACAACCCCUUGUCAAUUAUAUCAUAUAUAACUCUUGGAUAGUUUGGUAAACAACAUUUGUUUCUAGUCCAUCUAACGGUACCUACCAAACUACAUGCCUCUAAGUCCACAAUUUUAUUGAGAUAACUUAGUUAAGUCGGGCCCAAUAAUUUUAACAGUUUUGAUAUCACAAUUAUCCUAUCGCAUCUUACCAAGAUAAAUAGGGUACUUUUUUUGGCAAACCUACAUCCAUCGAUCAAGGUCUUGAUGAGUGUUAUUCAUUGGAAGGCAUCUGAUUUAGACUUAAUAAUUUAAUGAGGGAUUUUAUUAAUUAAUUUAGAUCUCACCAAUUUUAAUCUUAUUAAGCAUGCACAUUAUUUAUCAUAUCAUAUCGUAUACAAGAAUAAAUAAAGUGCAAAAUUAAAUGUGUCACAGUUAUGGCCCAAUCCACUGUCAAUCUUUUCAAGCUAAUGAAAGAUUGAAGGUCAAUCUAAGGUGGUAAAAGAUCUUCAAAAUAGUAGUUUCCUUGGAUCUUCCUCAUGCAUGUGCCUCCUCUCCAUUAUCAUCUUUCCAUCGUGUUCUUCAUCUUGUCAUCUUCAUCUUGUUAUCGAUUAUUACAUGACAUAAAGAAACCUCAAAUUACAUUCGAGGGGAUUUAGAUGAGAAGAGAAUGUUACAUCAGAAUUUAUAGAAAGACACGACAUGCAAGCCGUAUUUCAAAACCAAAAACCACUAACUGUGCACCAUACAUAUCAUAAUAAACACAUAACAGUGUAUAUAUAAUUAAAUAAAACUAUAUAUAAAAUGUUGGGGUCACGACCAUCGUGCGCUACGAUGGGGGGUCCAAGGGUGGGGUCUCCCCCCUGGCGGUGGUCCAGCUGAUUGAACUACAAUCUGUAUUGUAGAAUUUUUCCAUACGAAUCUCUGAAAUAAUUCCAGAAUCAUAUCAAAUCCGCCAUAACACUCAUAAUAACAAUACACCCAGAACAUAUCAUAUAUGCCCAGUUUCGAUUAAUCAUAUUAAACCAAAUCUUCAUGCUUUUAAUCCAAUUAGAACAGAAGUUGUAUUGUUAUUCCACCUUCUGAGAUACGAUUAACAGAACAUCAUAUACAUGCAUAUAUAUUACAAAUAUAAUUCAAAAUACCAGAAUAUGCAUACAGCGAAAUAUCAUAUAUUCAAUUUCAGAUCGGUAAACAUGCAUCAUCAUAUAUCAUAUAUAUCGAAUUAAUCGUUUUCGCAAGUAGCUUUGAUACCACUGUAGGGAAUUUCGGCAUAUAAAAGCAGCGAAAAUUAAAAUUUUCAAAGACAAUUCCAAAACCCUAAAACAGGAUCCAUGCGAAAACAUAUUAAUUCAGUGUUUAGAUUUUAUACCGAUUAUAGAGAAUUCUGUAAUGGCUUCGAAUCUCCAAUGCAAUCCAACAGAACUACGUAUCUAUGGUAUCCACACGAACGCUCCGCGAAUCGUCACACGAUCUGAAGUAAAGAGAAAGUUGCGGUACUAGCCACCAAGGAUCAGGAUAUUCAAAACUUUUUCUCUCUAGUCUCUCUCUAUAAGAGCGGAUAGGGUUUCUUAGGUUAUAAUUAUUAUCCCUAAAUCACUGAUAUAUCAUAUAUAUAGCAGUUCAAAGGAAUUAAUCAAAAACCUAAUCUAAUUAAAAUAAAAUCUGAAUUUAUAUAUAUAUUAUAUCUUAAUUAAGUCUUACUUAAUUAAUAUACAUAUAUAUACAAAAUCAUCCUUAUUUAAAUUCAUGAUUUAAAUACUAUCAAUCAUAUUGUUAUAUUUAAAUCCUUACAAUUUAAAUUAAUUCCCUUUUAAAUCAUGUUCUAUGUGUGUGACCCUAUAGGUUAUUAUUACGUUGGCAAUAAUUUUAAAAUUAUAUUAUAAAAUUAUAAACAGUGAGCGGCAUCUAGUAAUGCAUCACUGCUACCCAAGUAAUAAUAAGAUCGAUGAUUCAAUGCAACCUUUUUGUGACCAAUAUUUCAAUGUAAUUUAAUCCUUUUAACUUUAACAUCCUAGAUUAAACUCGAGUCAUGAAAUGCAUCAUACUCUUCAUAAUUUAAUCUGAGUUUUCUUGAUCAAUGAGUAGACUAUAUGAAACAAAUCAUUAUUUGAGCAUGGCCAUGCAUUUCAUAGUCCUACUCAAUCAAGAGGCCUAUGGAUAUCACCCCUAAUAUAUAGGAGGGUUAAAUUUCAUCUAGAUCACUCAUAUUCCUCACACGAUUCAUGAUGUACCCAAUAAUCACCUUUGUUGUCCACCCUAUUAAAGGUGACUUUUGAUGAUAUCAAAGUACAUAAAUUCCCGUGUAGUUAUAUAGUGAUUUCAGGUGGAGGAUUAUUACAUCAUUGUCACUAUGAGAAUUGCUAAUGACACUUUGCAUAAUGCUCCACGUAGAAUUCUAAUGGUGGGUCUAUCCAGUACAUCGUUCUCUAACAUGUACCUAUGCAUUGACUCAAUAUCUCAUAUAUUUAUGACCAAUGAGAUUUGGUCAUCAGUCAAUCCGCAUACUAGUCUCAUUGUAUCAUUGUUGUCCCAUUAACAGUGAUACUCGACUAAGGACAUUUAAGAGCAAUGAUACUAAUUGUAAUUAUAUAAUCUCAUGUUCAAGUCACAUACUUGAAGCUAUAUAAUUUGUAUCACUAUUCUAAGGACUUUUAUUCUGCUAAUAUUUAUAUAACGCAGUAAAUAAAACUAUAAUAAAAUAAUUCAUUUAUUCAAUCAAAUAUAAUAUCAAAAAUGUUAAACAAUUAUAUCAAAUAAUUGGCCUCUAGGGCAUAAACUCUAAUAAUCGUAGUAUGUUCUCAGAGUCAUAGUGUCUGCAGAAUCAAAGCUAGAUCGUAGUCUUCAGAACAAAGUCUUCGGCAAAGUCUAUCAGUGCUAACAAAGACAAGGAAUAAUCGUAGUGAUAACACGAUUCUCAACACAUGAGCACUUCCAAAAGCAUCCAAAGAAUGUAGCCUCUGGAAAAAACUAUAAAGAUGCAAUCUACCUGAAGUAAGCCAGAGAGCCCUCACCAAAUGGCUUGCAAGCAAAUAGAAGAUCGAAGCACAAAUUCAAUCAGCAUCAUGAUUGAGAAGUGAAGCCAUUCAGGGAAGUCUUUCAUAAGCAACAGUAAGAAGACUUCAGAUAAUAUGACUGACAAAAGAAAGUCAGUAAUGUUGUAGCUUUCAAGAUAAACAAAAGAUGACGAUCGUGGGAGUGACUAGGAUCGUAGUGCUUGCCAGAUGAGGAGCAGGAACUGAUGUGGUUUAUACAGAGAUAUUGGCCAACCUAUAAAGAAUAGACAAAGAAGAUUAAUCAUGGGUUAGACCAUUGAUGAUAUGUGAACGGGAGAUCAUAAGGAGAAAGAUAGCUGAACAUGACCAACCAGAUGAGUCUUGAAAUUCAAGAGGGCCAGAGCAUUCAAACAAGUUGUUAGUGUUUAUUGCAAGUCAAAGGCAAGCAGAAGUGUUGAAGCACUGCACGAGUGAAGGAAGAAAGAUUCUACAUUGCAAAUCCAAAGAACACUCUCAGAAUUGUAGUGUUGUCUUAAUCAGUUAACGAGCAGUAUUCAAAAGACUAACUACAAUCAAGUUCAAGGUCAUCUACAUCAUAAUCGUAGAGUUCGGUCAUCUGAGUAUUGAAGCCUUGGCAACUUCUCAAUACAAAGACUGACAUUCGAACGUUGUUGAUUGAAAGCAUCGAUGCAGAAGGAAAACUCAUGAUGUUCUGAUCGAGGAAUUAGAAAUAAGAAAUAAAGGUGACUACCAGCCUGACACGUUAAAAUGACAUCUCUGAUGUGGUAGGUGAAAUAGUAGACUGCAGUGUCAGGAAAGUCAAAAAGGAGUUGUCACAUCAACUUUGCAUCAGUGCUCACAAAAGUCAUGAGCAUUUAAUGCUUCAACGGAUGUCUUCAACUUAGACAUUUCAAAGGCUGCUUCACAAACAGAGAUUAAAAAGGGAGUUCGUCAAUAGAAGACUCACAACAGCUACAUUCCAACGGGAAGAUAAUUGAUAAAUCUAUAUAUAGCCAAAGCUUCAAAGAAGAAAGAGUUGUUUACUUGAAGAGAUGCAAGGAAUAUAGAGAAUAACAGAGAAAAGGUCUUCAUGAGAAUGAGACCACUGCAGUAGAGUGAAGCACAAAUGGAGACGGUUCCAAAAUGAUAAAGCUUCACUCCAUAUAAAGGAGUAUGACAAAGAGAUGGCAUCUGUACUGAGAGCCAGAAGGCCAAGAAGGCUACAACCUAAGUGGCAGAUUAGAAAGCAGAAUACUUAAGCCACUUUAUGUCUCAUCUUGAAUACAUUGAGUUGAAGAGAAGAAGGUACAGAACUGGAUCUGUGCACAAGACAACCAGUGUUCAAGGACGUCUAAGUACCCAAGGAAGCUAAGCUGAUAAGCAAAGACUUAGUAGUACCUCAACGAUGAUGGUGCACAAUGAUGAAUAUCAGAUGAAGAUAAGCAUCAAUGGCAAAGAAUAGCAGUACCAAAGGAUGAGUCAAACUGCUAAGUACCAACAAGAUAUCAAACUGAACGUACAUCUUAGCAGUUCAAAGGAUGUGAUCAAACACCAAUACUGAAUGCCCAAUUAUCACAAGAAGCUACUAAGUACUAGAAGAUGAACAAGCUGAAUGACAUCUUAGCAGCUCAACAACAACAAACAACAAACAAACAACCAAGCAACCAGGGCCAGCAGGGUCCUUGUCUUCGUGACUAAAUCAAAGUCAAGUCUGUUAAACUUGCUGAGUACCAGAGGGUACAAGAGAUUCUAAGUCCGAUGGGCUUAGUCUACAGUUUUCGAGGCUGCUGGUCUUGAAGUGUUCUUAGUGAACUAGAGUUUCAAGGCUGUUGGUCUUGAAGGAAUCUCAGUGAUUCAGAGUUGAUUAAAUCCUUAGUGGAAUCCCUGUUUGUUGAAGCAGAAGAGUGGAUUAGGAGCAUUCAGUCUCUAAACCACUUAAAACCUCUGGUGUCAUUUACUUUAUGUCAUUUACAUUCAGUAUUAUAACUGUUAUAUCUGCUUGCAAUUAACUCUAGUUUAGAACUAUGUUCAAUGCUAUAUUUCUGAAGGGUAUCUUAAUAUAUUCUGUUGUGCAUGAAUUGAUUCCUCUAUUCAUUGUUUGUUAAUCACUUAACAAGAUAAAAGAAAACAAAGAAAAAGUUAUAAAAGAUCUAUUCAACCCCCCCCCCCCCCUUCUAGAUCUAUUAUUGUGUUCCUCUUGGAACUAACAUCUUGGCCCGUAGUGAAAAGAUGGAUUGUUGAUUAUUGAUUUUACAGUUAUAUGUCUUUGGCCCGUAGUGCAAAGAUGGAUUGUUGAUUAUUGGUUUUACAAUUGUAUGUUUUUGGCCCGUAGUGCAAAGAUGGAUUGUUGAUUAUUGAUUUUACAGUUGUAUGUCUUUGGCCCAUAGUGCAAAGAUGGACUGUUGAUUAUUGGUUUUACAAUUGAACAUCUUUGGCCCGUAGUGCAAAGAUAGACAAUUGAUUGGUAUGAUCAUGACCAUUGAUAUUACAUUUGAAUAUCUUUGGCCCGUAGUGCAAAGAUAGACAAUUGAUUGGUAUGAACAUGACCAUUAUUGUUACAUUUGAAUGUCUUUGGUGUAGGAUGUAAAGAUAAUAUGAUUAUUGAGUGUCUUUAGCCUUUGUGGCAAUGACAUUGAGUGAAAUUUCUAUUAAGCCUUUGUGGCAAGGAGAAACUGUUGAUUUAUAUUAUUAUAAACAUGAAUUGUGAAUUUAACUAUAAUCUUUGGUGGUUCAGGUGAAUACAGGUGAUGAAAGUUCUCUUUGUCUUGGGUAAAGCAAAGAACUGUUGAUGGGUAUUACAGGAAUGAAAUAUUAAUGAUGGACUUUUAAUUUGGAGGAGAUAGUCAACAUUACGUUCUACUUGACUCUUCUAAUGGAUUGUUAAUUCCGUUGCAAUUAUGGUUGAACACUUUUAUCAUCUACCAUAUGUUCUAAAUAUCUGAUUUAAUACUGAUGAAG